rnacentral:lncRNA from 1 species
UUAAUAUUUAUAUCUAGCUCAAAAUAACUGCUUUACACCACAGUUGCAACAUCAUCCCCACAAGCACUAUGUAUAAUAAGCAGUACCAUCUAUAGCUGCAAACAGAAGCAUGACAAGUCACAGCAGCAAAAUAGAUCCAUCAGCGAAGAAUAUAUCAUAUCAACAAACUUUUUUCAGUAUGUUCAGUGAUUUUUUUAAUCUGGUUAUCAUGUUCAAUGAAUUCAGAAUCAACAAGAUUCAUGAAAACAGACAUCCAAGUCUUGUCAACUAAAACACAGAUCACUUUCUCCCGUCUGCAGUAAUAAUCUAGUUUACAGUCCCAUUAAUAUAAUUAAAGUUUAUAUAAAAUUCAACAUUUUGCUUCUGAUGUUAUAAGGCACUAUAAAGAAUCAGUUAUGUGCAUUUAUAAUUUGUAUCGAAUUUGAUGUCAGGGCUGAAGCUGAGUCUUUUUAGCAUAAGUUAAGAACAACAAUCAAGAGAAUUUGUGAAACUACAAUAUUAAAACUUAAUGUAUGAAGAACAGCCAUAUCCUUCCCAAGAAACUAUUUAGUGUGACAAAUGAAAAUAAAUAAAUUAAUUAAUUAAAAUAACAACUAUUAUAUAGAAUGAAAGACGAUAUAGUAUUCCGCCUCACUACGCAAAUUGCAGAUUUACUAAACAAGUGUCUGUCAGAUGUACCAAAGAGGAGGGGAGACAGGAUGGUAUGAUUUUCCUUGAAAAUGAGGUUCAAUUGUGUGAUGUUCCAUGCUGAAAAUCCCCAUAUCAUGCCCGCCUCCUUCAUGGUAGUAGGGUUCCUUGUUGUCGUCCGUAAAAUAGAUACAGUUUGGCUUCAUGAUUUCUGACGAUGAUACAGCCGUGGAUGAAGCAUUGCCAACAAAUAUUGACUCCUUUCCCAAUUCUUUCUCUUGUUUCAAAGAACAUGUAAUAUCUUUAAGAGAAUCAGAAUAUUUCAAAUCCAACCUCCACACGGAGAAAUGAGUAGUGCGGUACUUGAGCCGCAAUUCCUUACGGUAGCGCACAAGUAGCAGAAGACCAGAUCCUGAUGUUGGUUCAACUAAGUACUUCUUUUCCCAAUCUUUACUUUCAAGCCAUGCAAUUUCUCUUCCCCUGAUGUGUCGUCCCUCUUCAUCACCAUCACAACCACACACAAAUAUAUUCCCAUGGCAGUUUACUGCAUAAACAUUUCCUUUGUGGUAAACAAUAUCACUGAAGUUGAACGCUGGAACGCACACAUCUGUCCAAACUUUGUCUCCCAAUCUAGCAAACCCUAAUUUAUAAUAGUCCCCAUAUAUAGCCAUUACAUAUGGUGAAGGGCAAGCAUGGCGAGGAUAUAAUCCGAAAGCUGAAUUUACGUUGAGUACACUGGAAUAUACAACAACUUUUGAAAUAAACAUGUCGGAGUAAUUUUCAGGCCCGUAGUCUUCAUCGUAGGGCAUUUGCAGAGGAAAGGUAAGCAUGGGUGGAAGCAAGAUUUGGUAGUUUAAGAGAGGAUGCAAAAGGUUCAUUUGCAGAUCCCUGCCUAGAGUUACUAGCCACCCUUUAUUGGUCCCCACUAUUAGUCUUCCAGCAGCUUCCGGCAAAUCAAUAUAGUAUGUUUUUCCCGUCAAAAGACUGUAGAAACCACGACGACUACCGACUGAAAUUUUAUUAUGAUCAUAUUUAAAUGCCUUCGUAUAAUCUAUCUUGUCAUUGUCUUCAUCAUCACCACUAUUGUCUUCUUCGUGAUUCUCAUCACCAUUGUCACUACCAUCCUCAUCAUCACUGCUAUCUUCUUCUUCAUCAUCACCACCACUAACAUCAUUGUCGCCUUCAUCAUCACCACUAUCAUUGUCCUCAUCAUUAUUAUCUUCUACUUCACUAUAAUCUUGACUAGGGUCAUAUUCAAGCAUAGCUCCUGGAGCAACAUCUUCCGCAAGAAGAAGGAACGGAUAUUCGGUGAGAGGCAGACAUGGCUUCUUGAAGUUACUAAGUGAAUCCCUCCAUGAUCUGCAGACAGCAAUGAAUCUGUAAUAGUCACGGAGAUAACUAAACUUCCCCACUAUAACCUCAAGAAUAUCAGGGGGAAGAUUACUCCAAUAAUCAUAAUCGUCACCAUAAUCUUCUUUUUGUACAACGUCACUAGGUAAACAAUCACCAAGCAAAAGAAAGCUUUGCGCAAUAAAGCUACAACCUUGAUCCAUAUCCUGUCACAUACAUAUAUAAAAAAAAAAUCAGUUUUUUUAAGUCGCAAGUAAAGUGUGAGUAAAGACUAAAAAGAGGUAUCAAGAAUAUAACAAUAUUAAUUCUGAACUGAAAGAUAAUUUCCCCGCAAUAAUAUCAAGAAUGUUAUCAUCUCCACUGCCUUGUUUUUAGACAACAUGACUAUUAGUCUUUGUUAGAUUCAGAGUCACAAUCACCAAGGAGAGCUCCAAUAACAACAUCUAAAUUAGGAGUAUAUAAAUUGCAAACAUAACUUAAACAAUCACCAACCAUACAAAAGCUUUGCACAAAUAAUAAAGAAGUCCGAUUAAUCCAAAAAACAUAAAAUAUCUAAACAGAAUCUUGUUUGAGAUCCGUGGAAAAACAUAAGAGAAUUUACUGAGAGAGAUGAUUUACCUUUUAGUAGAAAAUCCGUUCUUACGAUUUAAAUCUCUGCAGGUAUCCACACUAACACCUUAAGUUCAACGAUCGAUGAAGGAGGUACUACCGUACUAGCCACCAAAAAAUCUCUUUCUCUUCCUGAUCUCUCUCUUAUCUCUGAAAACAAAUUUCCUCGACUCUAUCAAAACAUAUGUACGACGAAAAGAUAAAAAUCCGAACACUAAUCUGACUAGUAAUCCAUUAGUCUUACGUGGUGUUUUGCCGACAGAUUAUAAUAUUCGAUUCUGAAUUUAUAAGUCAGAAACAUUUAUUUAUAUCGAUGAUUUCAAAAAAUUAACAAAUUUUUAUAUAAUAAUUAUUUUGAUUUUAUGAUAAUUAUGUUACAUAUGAUAAUAUUAAUAAAUUAUUACUACACUUUAAUGAUUAAAUAACAAAUUUUAGUUGAAUCAAAUAUAAUCAUCAAUAUAAGUGUUCUGCAUAAUAAUCUAUGUAAUAUUUAUUAUAAACAACUUAAUGUUAUUUUGAGCUAAUUUAUUUCUAAUUUUGUUUUUGCGUAUUUAAUCCGAAAUUAAUUGGACAAAGAAAACUUACAAAUAAUUUGAUCUAAAAUAAAAUCGAAAUAUGUAGGAAUAAAAUAAAGAGGGGCAUCUAUCACGAUUUUGACUGCCACACGCGUGUCCCAGUAUUCUAUCAAUUAAACGCGUGUCACUUUAAAAAGUGUUUGAAAUUAUAUCAAUUAGCCAGUAUCGGUUGUAAAGUUUUGCAAAAAUGAGUGCCCUUGUAACCGGUACUAAUAUUAGUCUGAUGUGCUCUAACCAACCAAAUUGAUUAUACUAUAUGAUCGAAAAUCGACUAUACUAUAACUGAAAUUUAUACUCCCUCCGUCCCCCUGAGUUGUAUACAUUGGGGGACGGGGACGCGGCACGGACUUUAAUGCUCCUGUAAAGUGUAGUUGUGUAAUUUAUUUUUAAAAUUUUCUUUUUCUGAAUUAAAGUUUGGAUGUUAUAUUUUUAUUCAGAAAAAGAAAAUCUCAAAAAUAAGUUACGGAACUAUAUUUUAUAAGAGCAUUGAAAUGCGUGUCGAGCAGUUGAAAAGAAACGUAUACAAUUAAAUGGGACAGAGGGAGUAUGUAUCAUAUAAUUAAAAAUAAAAUAAAAUUAUAUCAUUUGAAAGUAUAUUUAAUCUAUUUUAAUAUUUAAUGUUCACAUUUUAAAAAUAAUAUGUACUCCUUCCGUCCUUCUAGAUUCUAUACGUUCACUAAUAUAUUAUUCCUAAUUUUGUUUAUGCAUAUUUAUCGCACUAUUAAUUGGACAAUGAAACACAAAUAAUUUGAUCUAAGAUAUAAAAUCGAAAUAUGUAGGAAUUAAUUAGCAAGAAAGAUAUUAAAAAUAGAGGUAAUUGCAUAUCGCACCCCCUAAGUAUCGUUCAAAAACGAUAGAGUACUGAUACUUUAAGAAACUCAACUCGCAUCCCUUAUCUUUACUUCUCAAAACCGAUAUGCACCCCCUGCCGUUAACUUCCGUUAACUCAGUGCACUCCGUUAAGUCAGUAUAUAUAUAAUUGCAAUUCGGACCCCCUAACUUACGUUCAAAAACGAUAUUGUAUCCAUAUUUUUGAAAACUCGAAAUAUAGNNNNNNNNNNNNNNNNNNNNNNNNNNCAAAAAGUAAAUCUCUAAUCCAUUUUAAUAUGUUACUUUCUAUUUCCUAAAAUAAUAAAUAAAUAUUUUUUAAUAGUUGGUCAAAAAUUAGUCAAUUUGACAAGGGACAUGUAAAUUGAGACGGAGGAGUAUUUUAACGCAAGGUAACGGAAUUCAACGGAGGAGGUGCGUAUCGUUGUAAAGAUAGGUGGUGAGAUUUGGGUUUCCAAAAGUACAGGUAUAAUAUCGUUUUUGAACGUAAGUUAGGUAUAAUGUGCUUUUUAUAUAAGCCUCUUGUCGUUUAAUCAAAAAGUAAAUCUAGCCUAUUUUAAUAGAGGUAAAUAGUAGGGGGUCCGAAUUGCAAUUAUCUCUAUUAUUUGUGAAAUUCGGACCCUCUAUUAUUUGCGAAAACAAAUAGACUAGAUUUACUUUUUGAUGAUAUUUUUUUUUUAAAUUUUUGUUUAAUUAAGUUAUCCCCAAGUCAAAAUGAUUUUACAUAUUGAAUGAUUUUAAAUUUUUAGUGACAUGUGUAUUAGGUAUUUAAUAUACACUAUUUUAAAUAUAAAAAAUAAAUAUCAUGUGAUAUUUAUUAUAAAUAUUACAUAAAUUUAUCUAUUGAUUAAAAUAUAUAAAUUUUAAUUAUUUUGUUUGGAAAAAUUGAUCAAAAAAAUAUCAUCAAAAAUUAAAUCUAGUCUAUUUUAAUAUGUAACUUUCUAUUUUCUAAAAUAAUAAAUACAUAUUUUCAAAUAGUUAGUAAAAAAUUAGUCAAUUUAACUCCUCAAAAAGCAAAAGGGACAUGUGAAUUGAGACGGGGGAGAAUUUUAACGAAGGUAGCGGAAUUUAACGGAGGGGGUGCGUAUCGUUCCUGAGAUGUAAAAAUAGGUGGUGCGAUUCGAGUUUUCAAAAAUAUGGAUACCAUAUCGUUUUUGAACGUAAGUUAGGGGGUCCGAAUUGCAAUUAUAUAUAUACUGACUUAACGGAGUGCACUGAGUUAACGGAAGUUAACGGCAGGGGGUGCAUCUCGGUUUUGAGAAGUAAAGAUAAGGGGUGCGAGUUGAGUUUCUUAAAGUAUCGGUACUCUAUCGUUUUUGAACGAUACUUAGGGGGUGCGAUAUGCAAUUACCUCUUAAAAAUAUGUAGGAAUAAAUAAAAAGGUGCAUCUAUCACGGCUUAGGUAGCCACACGUGUGUCGGUCCCAGCAUUCUGACUAGCUUCCAGCGGUGACCUCAUUGGACUGGCAAAUGGGGACCACUUCCCCUCUAAACUCCGAAUCUUACUAUUCUGGUUCAGGUAAAGCUUUUACUGACAAACAUAACUAGUCCGUAACUAAUACAAACGUUCACAAAAACAAACAACAUUUUCAAAUUUUAUUUUAAAUAGUUUAUAUGUGCUUAUACACAAGUUUUUAAUUCUAUUUUUCCUUUAACUUUUCUUUUUAAAUUUUUGGAAUUUCACUUUUGUGUAAAUGUUCUAUAUUUAAUUUUAAAAAUAAACCACUAAAUUAUUAACAUGUUACUACUAAAUCAUAAAAAAACAAAAAUUUUAUGAGAUAUAAAAAAUUUACAUUAUUAUUUAGAGCCAUAAUUAUACGUAGCACUAAAAUUUAAUGUAUUUUUCAACGUGAAUAUGAGUUACUCUUUUUCAGUUGGAUGGGAUCUAAUCAUUUUAUUUUCAAAUAAUUUUUAAUAUGUAAGGUAUACCAAUGUGUUGCUAAAAUCUUUAAUAAAUAUAUAUAUAUAAUAACUUAAAGAAAUAUCAAGAAAAUAAAAAAAUGUAAGUAGAACUUGGUUAAAGAAAAAGCCAAGUACGAUUUUGUUCAAACGAACUAGCUCAUUUCAUUAAUUAAGGUCUAGCUGACGGAAAAAUCAAGUAAAAAUAUGUAUUUGAUCAAAUUCUAGUAAAAAUUUAUGUCCAAAGAGAUUAUUUAUCAUAUUUCAAAAUUACUAAUUCAAAAGAUGAGAGAGGAAGCUAUUAUGAUAGUUCUUAAAUUUAUGGACAUAGUUUUAUUAUUUAAAAAUGAUGUCAAUUAGCUAUAUUUAUGCAAAUAACACUAAAUUAUAUUAUCAAGUUCAAAGUCACAUCAAAUAAUAAUAAUUUAAAAUAUUUUUUAAAUUAUCACUAACAAAAUUAUCUAACCGCAAUUUAUUUUAAUAUUAAGUAAACUUAGCAGAAAUUAUAAAUUUAUAAUAGCAAAUACACAUUGGCGAAAACAGAAAAUAUUUUUACAAUUAUAUUAUACUAGCUUUUCUUGCCCGCGCUCCGCGCACGGGUGUCUUGAUAUUGUAGUUGGUUUUUUGUGGCGUAGUAAAAUAAUUUUUGUGAUUAAGAAUAGAAAAUUAAACUAUCAAAUAAUCCCAAAUGAAGAAUAAAAUUAAAAAAUAUAUAUAUAAUCCAAAAUAAACAUAGUCCGGAUGAUAACCUCAUAAUCUAUAAAGAAUUUGAGCAUAAUUUCAAAUACUUAUUAUAUUAUUAUUUCACAAAAAUCUAAAUAUUGUAGUACGAUUAUUCAGCAUUCUUGGAGAUGUUAUAAUCCGAGAUCUGGAAGCUAUACAUAUCCAUCACGAUCAAGCCUGGAACAAUAUAAAAAAUUUAUAAAUUAUUCUCAUAUUAUUUUGAUAUGAAAUAUAUAAUUAUACGAUUCUGUGUGAAUAAAUGAGCAAAUUAAAUAAAUAACUAUGUCUCAUGCUAUAUACCGCACUCAAAUUUAAAUUAACAUCAACUUUUGAUAUCGCUGUGUUGAUAAAACUGAUAUUUCUUGUAGUUGUAUAGAUUGUCACCAAACAUGUUUCAGAAUUAAAUAUAUUUAGAUGUGUAUAUGAUUGUGACGAAUGCAAAUUAUGAUCCAACCUUCACACAUUUGAACCUUCAUACUUGCUAGAACCAAGAUCACCGCCGUUUCUAAAUCGUCUUGAUAAAUAUGAAUCAAAUAUUCUGCGAGUUCUCCACUCAAGUCAACAAUGAUUGACUCCCUACAUACCUAUACAUGCAUGUAAUAAGUUAAAGUAUGAAAUAUUUCUCAAUUAAUAUUUUAUAGUAUAUCUAUUUAUCAUUUUACCUCCCAUUACAAUACAUUAUUAUACUAAAAAAGUGUAACUGUAAAUUUAUAUAUUUAUUAAACGUAGCGACAAAAAUCUUUGUAUAUAUGUUGUUACUGUAGCAUAUGCAAUUUUAGAGUUGGAAUUGACGUAGGUAUUUUAUAAUAGCAGAUGUGCAGUUUUUUUUUGUGAGAAUAGAGAUCUGCAAUAUAUACAAAAACAACAUUUCAAUAAAAAAGAAACUAAAUAUAUAAGAGUUUUUGAUUAUGUAGUUUAUGUUAGUAGCAGAUUUAAUUUAGCGAGUAAAAUAGUGAAUGAGAUUUUGUAUUAUAAUAUUUGAUGAGUAUUCAAAUUCAAAAUCUAUAAUAGAUAGAAUUUAUUUUUCAGAAUUAUCAAUGACUAAAAUGCAUUUAAAAUAGAUAUUUUUUCUGUUACAGUUUUUUGGCAUAGUAAUGUAUUUAAAUUACGUAAUAUUUUUUGGCAUUGUACUGAAUUAAGACAUUGAUUUUUUAUAAAAUAUUUAACUAAAAAUUUUAACUAUAUGAUAAUAUUUUUAUAAUGAAUUAUUUAACUAAACUAUGAUAUUUUGGCAUACCAAUGAAUUGUAUCGUUUUGGGAAUAGUAAUGAAUUAUUUAACUAAAUUUAAAUAUUCUGAAAGAUAUAUAUAUAUAUAUAUUAUUUUUAUACACUUUAUUUUAUCACAAAUUAAUAAAUUGAUAAAAAAAAUACGUUAGCAAGCUAGCAAUUCAGAUCCUUCAAAUCGAGUAUCAUCCAUAAAAUUUAGGUCUGAUGUUCCAUGUAUUAGUCAGAAUACAUGAUUUGUAUUUCAUCGAGCAUUCAGAGAUAACAAUCAAAUAACACCAAUUAGUUAUGUCAAUUAAAUACAAAUGCUAUAAUGUAUACAGAAAUUCAGAGAUAGUCAACCUACAUAUAUAAUUGAUUCACUUCACUUGACAUAAAUACAAUCUUUCUAAAAAAAAUAUAAUAUAUACGUCUUUUAUAAAAAAUAUAAAUAGAUUUCGUUUCUACACUUCAUUUGAUUAACAAUUAAAUAAAAUAAAGACGUCUUUAAUAGAGAAGUAUACUAAUUAUAUUGUUGCUACUUAUAUAUGUUACCUAAAUGAAUAAGAGAUCAAAUUAAUAAAUUAAAAUCAUGGAUUAUAAUUUACAUACUGAUAUUUUAAACCGUAUUGAAAUUUAAAAUUUGCAACGACUGUCAUGUACUUAACUGAAUCUGAAUGUUUCCUAAAUCUAGGGGAUACGCUAUACCUAAAUUUACAUGAUACAUUUUAGUUGUUUAGCAUUGAAUGAGUAACUAUAUAUUUUAAUAUUACCAAAAGAAAUUGAUUAAUCAUACUUGUUAAUUAUUCCAUCCAACUUAAAAAUCGAAUAAAUUAAGGAAGCAUAAUAGCAGAUGCGAAUUUUUUUUAUGAUAUUAUGAUUUACAGUGAGAUUAGAGAUUUGCAACAAAUAUAAAGACAAUAUUUUAACAAAAAAGAAAGUAAAUGAAUAAGAGUUUUUGAAUUAUGUAGUUAAUGUUAGUAACAGAUUUAAUUUAGCGAGUAAAAUUGAGAAUGAGAUUUUGUAUUAAGAUGUUUGAUGAGUAUUGAAAUUCAAAUUUUGUAACCGAUAGAAUUUAUUUUACAUAAUUAUUAAUGUCUAAAAUGUAUUUAUAAUAGAUAUUUUUUGUUACAAUUUUUUGGCAUAAUAAUGUAUUGUAAUCUAUGUGAUAUAUUUUGGCAGAGUAAUGCAUUAAGACAUCGAUUUUCUAGAAAAUAUUUAAUUAAAAAAUUUAACUAACUUAUAAUAUUUUAAAAUGAGUUAUUUAACUAAAUUAUAAUAUUUUGACAUACGAAUGAAUUAUAUCGUUUUGGGAAUAUUAAUGAAUUAUUUAACUAAAUUUAAAUAUUUUAAAAAUGAAUUAUUUUAAAUAUAUAUUAUUUUUAUACACUUUAUUUUAUCACAAAUAAAUAAAUAAAUAAUACAUAAAGAAGCUAGCAAUUCAGAUCCUUAAGAUCGAUUUUAGGUCUGUUGUUCCAUGUAUUAGUCAGAAUACAGGGUUUGUAUUUCAUCAAGCAUUCAGAGAUGACAAUUAAAUAACACCAGAGUAUGUCAAUUAAAUAUAAAUGCCAUAAUGUAUGCAUAAAUUAAGGGAUAGUCAACAUAGAUAUAUAAUUGAUUCACUUCACUUGACUUAAAUAUAAUCUUUCUAAGAAAAUAUAUAAUAUAUAUGUCUUUUAUUAUAAAUAUAUCUAGAUUUCGUUUAUACACUUCAUUUGAUUAAGAGUUAAAUAAAAUAAAGACGUCUUUAACAGAGAAGUAAACUAAUUACAUCAUUGUUGCUUAUAUAUGUUACCUCAAUGAAUAAGAGAUUAAAUCAAUAAAUUAAAAUCACGGAUUAUAAUGAUAUUUCCAUCUGCAUUGAAAUUUGAAAUUUGCAACGGAUACACUAUACUUAAAAUGUUUCCUAAAUCUAAGGGAUACGUUAUACUUAAAUUUACAUGGAAACACAUAUUCUUUUCAUUAUUGUCAUUGUAUUUGUACUCAAGUCCUUUAUGUUCUUAUAAGUUUUUAUAAAAAUAUUAUAAAAUACAAAUUAUGAAAAUUUUAUUAUCUCUUUCAAAAACAAUAGAUAAAAAAUCUAAAAACCCGUCAAUGGUUAAUUUAAAUAGAUCAUGUGAUCAAAACUAUAACUUACUCCCGAGACAAUGCAUGAGCCAAAUGAGAACUUGCAAUAUAAAAUUUAUGACUAAAACAACUACUUCUCAAUGAACUUGAGUGACUAAAAGUACUAACUUGCGAAAUUAUAUAUUCUCAAGAUAUUAAACAAAGACUACACCAAUGUAAAUAGGGAGACAAUUACAUUGACAUCAUUUUGUUAGACUUCCCCAUCUCACGUGAUACUUCCUCAAUGUUAACUGCAUUGCUAGCCUCAUCGUCUACAUUUCUCACUCCCGUCUGACCAUUUCAGAUCCCUUUACUACUUCCUUUGUAUUGAGAAUCUGGCUGAUGAGCUUUACCAAAGUUUCACACACCAAAUAGUCUCCGCGUCAACUCCUUUGAAUAUCUGCUGCUCAAAUCAAUAAUUAGUUGUUUCAAAGGACUUUGAGAUUGUUAAAAGAGCACCCAAACUUUCGUAAUUCCUUUCUAGAUGCUUGUAGACAACUGACAACUAUCUAAGCAAUUGUAUCAUACAUACACAUAAGUUAUACAUACAUAUGUAAAUUCUAAUGAUUGAUAUUAAAUUCCAAUAAAUGAUUUCAUUUGUUAUAUAAUCAAUCUAAAUAAGUAUUAAUAAAAUUUUUCACAAACUUGCACAGAAAAGGCUGAGAUUCAAUUUACCAAGUGAGACAACAAUAUAUCAUUCUCCUUUUAUUGACAACGCUAAAAUUUGUAUCAGAUGAAUCUGUAUAGCCAGAUUGGUGUGUUGCUAAUCAGAGGAACUGAGCGGCCAGACAAAUGGUCAUUUAAGUAUUUUAUAUACACAUACACAAAAAUUAAUAAUUAGUGUCAAUUAAAUGAUAAAUAUGAUAAUCACGCCAGUAAAACAUAUGAUAACACCAAAAAUCAGUUGAAUGUAGUAGGAAAUACGAUGCCUUUAGGUUAUUUGAGUCCCACAACUUGUCUCAGCCAUGCUUUCUUCAUUGUAAUGUAGUUUCCUCGGCCUUUGAUAGCUACAAAUUGUAAAAAGAGAUUCCAUUAACAUUCACAUCCAUAUAUCUUGUAAAUUAAAAACAUGUUUGAAAUUUUAAAAGAAUUGCUUACAGAUAUAGAAAAAAGAAUGAAAAUCUCAAACUAUAAAGUCAAAAAAGAAAAAGAAAAAGGAAAACAAAGAUGAAUACAAACAAUCAAAGAUAUAAGCAUGUAGUCUUGAUAACGGUUAUAUAUAUACCCACUCUCUACCAAAUAUAUAGAUAUAUAGACAUAUACAUAUAAAUAGAUAUGAAAUCAAUCAAACAAAUUACCAUAAAUAAAAUCAUUGUUUUGAAUCUUGUCAUACUAUUGUUCAACGAAAGCUAUAAUCAAGGAAAUUUGAAUAUCAAAUUGAAGAGAGACAACCAAUAUGAUUUCAAUUUUGCAAUACUUACUUUGAAUUCAAAUUUUUAGAUGGUAAUGGAAAGAAACAAAUGAAAUUCACUCGCUUCCCAUUCUGAAGCACCAAUCAUGCAUAUAAUCAAGCAGACCUACAUAUGCCUUCUAAAUUGCUUACAAUUUCUGAUCCAAAAAAGAUAUUAUUCUUCAAACAAAAUUAAAAAAAAUUCAAACCAAUUAAAUAUUUAAAAAACACCGAUUAUGCAGCUGAUUGAGCAUGCUUAAAUAUCAACUAAAUGCUGCUUCACACACCUUACCAUUACGACGCUAUGUUACUGCUCUGAUAUAUAAAUUUGAACUAAUUUUAUAUUUAUUUUAAAAUAAAAAAUUAGAGAGUAAAACAUAUAUAAUGACGUAUCUCAAAUUUUUUAUAUAUAAGAAUUACUUUAUUAAAAUUGAAAAAAAAUAAAAUAAUGAAGAAAACAAUAACACAUAAAUGAAUUUAACAACACAAUAGUCGUAUCAUAAUUUUUUAAAGUAUAACAUAUUUAAUGGUGCAUCAAUACCUUAUUCUUUUUUGUAUAAUCUUAUGAAAAUAUUUUAACACUACUUUAUUUUUAAAUAUUUUAAGAAAAGACGAUUAGCAGUUUAAGAGGUAGUAAUCACUAUUCCAACAUAUUGAAUUUUUAAUGCAGUAUCAUACAAAAAAUCUUGUAAGUGCUUAGGAAGUCUUUCCAUGUUUAAUUCGAAAUAGAUAAUAAGCUAACAAUUACAAUUAAAAAUAGGUUAAUAUACAAAAUAUACAUGUAGUUGUGAAUAAAUUAAAUGUAUAAAGAUAAGAAAAAUAUUGUUUGAAAUUUUUUAAAUACAUUUUAAUUUUAAAUAUUUUAAGAAAAGGCAAUCAGCAAUUUGAGAGAUAAUUAUAUUUUUAAAUUUUUAAUUUUUCAUGCAACAUCGUACAAUAAAGUCUUGAGAGCGCUUAAGAAGUCUUCCCAUAAAUGGUAAGAUGAAUUUGAAUUUUUAAAAUAAAUAAUAAGAAUUGAUUUGAUUUUGAAUUUAGAAAUAAUUAAUGAUGAUUAGUUUCAUAUCUUGGAGAGUAUUUGAGAAGUCUUUUCAUUCAUAAAUUAGAGAUAGAGGAAGUCAAUAACUACAUUUAAAAAAUAUGCUAAAAAUUAGGAAGGAAAUGAUUUUUAUUUAAGACAAUUAAAAUGAAAAGUAAGAAUGCAUGCAUAAUUUGUGGGACUUUCUAAAACUUGACUUAUAUAAAUCAGUUGAUUAGAUGGCGCUUCUUAUUUGACAUAAUUAAAAUAUGUGGUUUUAUGACGUGUCAUUUUACGAAUUACGUUUAUUUUUAAAUAUACAAAAUAUACAUGUAGUUGUGAAUAAAUUAAAUGUAUAAAGAUAAGAAAAUUAUUGUUUGAAAUUUUUUUACAUAAAUUUUAAUUUUAAAUAUUUUAAGAAAAGGCGAUCAGCAAUUUAAGAGAUAAUUAUAUAUUUAAAUUUUUAAUUUUUCAUCCAACAUCGUACAAUAAAAUCUUUAUUUUUAAAUAUACAAAAUAUACAUGUAGUUGUGAAUAAAUUAAAUGUAUAAAGAUAAGAAAAUUAUUGUUUGAAAUUUUUUUACAUAAAUUUUAAUUUUAAAUAUUUUAAGAAAAGGCAAUCAGCAAUUUAAGAGAUAAUUAUAUAUUUAAAUUUUUAAUUUUUCAUCCAACAUCGUACAAUAAAAUCUUCAGAGUGCUUAGGAAGUCUUCCCAUAAAUGGUAAGAUGAAUUUGAAAUUUUAAAAUAAAUGAUAAGAAUUGAUUUGAUUUCGAAUUUAGAAAUAAUUAAUGAUGAUUAGUUUCAUAUCUUGGAGAGUACUUAAAAAGUCUUUUCUUCAUAAAUUAGAGAUAGAGGAAGUCAAUAACUACAUUUAAAAAAAUAUGCUAAAAAUUAGGAAGGAAUGAUUUUUAUUUAAGACAAUUAAAAUUAAAAGCAAGAAUGCUUGCAUAAUUUGUGGGACUGUCUAAAACUUGACUUAUAUAAAUCAGUUGAUUAGAUGGUGCUGGUGAUGUCAACGCUGACAUAUUAAUAUGGUGGUUUUCAAAAAGAUGUGGUGAUUUUCAAAAAGAUGUCAUAUUAAAGAUGUCUUUAAUAGAGAAUUAAACUGAUAAUCAGAGCUGACAAUCAACGCUGAUUUGAUAAUUAAGACAAAUAAAAUCAAAAGUAAGAAUUCAUGCAUGAUUUGUGGGACUGUUUGAAACUUAACAUUUAUUAAUCAGUUGAUUAGAUGGCACUGCUGAUGUGGCAUUAAAAAAUACGUGGCUUUAUGACGUGUCAUUUAACGAAUUACGUGGACUUUGUGACUGGGCAUCGUUCAGGAAUUAUGAUAUAAUAGAUUAUUAUAUUCAUGAAUUUUAAUCGGAACAUUUAUUUAAGCUUAGACAGAUGAUCCGUAAUUGUUUUUUUUUUUUUUACCAUAAUAGUAAGAGGUGGGCAAGAGGCCAAGUCGUUUCCCUUGACCCUAGACUUUUAAGCAGCUCCUCACGCUGUAUCAAUUACAAUCUCAAGUCUCCGUCCAUGAAUCCAAUCUCGCUCAAUUAUAUUGUAAGUACUCAAAUCCAUAUUUAUUGACAUGGGCUAUGUGUAUUUCUUGUUCAAACCGAUGUUAAUUGUGCUGUAAGAGUUCUUGUCUUGUUGUAGAUCGAUGUUAAUUGUUAUGAUGGUGUGUCUUAUGUUUGUUUUAAAUUCAGAUUUGAUGUGAUUGUUUUUAAUUGUGAAGAUGGAUCAACUGAUCUUGCUCUGAUGCAGAUCGAUGGUAAUUCUUAUGUUGUUGUGUUAAUUCUUAUGUUGUUUUGGUUCUUUGAAUUGUGUCUUGGCCUUAAUCUGUGUAUCUAUAUCUCUUUUCCAUUGAAUUUGGAGAAGCAGUUAUGUUUCUUGCGAUUGUGUUUUUUCUUGUUUGUUGUUUUUCGUGUGCGUCUCUGUAUGUAUAUAUCAACAUGUAUAUCUAACUGUAAAUAAUAAAAUCAAUUUCCUGUAAUAAAAAGACCAUAGCAUUCCAGAUUGAAAGUUUUCUUUUUCAAGUUUUCUAGGUUUGCUGCUGUUUGACUGUUCCUUGAUUUGGUUCACUUUUCCGGCAGUAGUUGAAGUUUCAAGCAAGUCAAGGCUUUGUGGAGAAAGAUUAAAGCUUUUUGGAGAUAGAUCAAAGUUUAUAAGAACAACAAAAAGAUCAAAGCUUCCGAGAAGAAGAAAAAUAUCGGAUCUUUUAAGAGUAAGUUCAAAGUUUAUAAGAAAACGCAAAAGGUCAAAGCUUUCAAGAAAAAUAAAAGCAAUCUUUUGUUAUUGGUUUGUCUUGGUUAUGCAUGUCUUGCAGUUGAACAUCUUUAUGAUGGACGUUUUUUCUGUGUUUGAUGUUGUUUGAUUAUGUUCCUUGUUUUAUUUCUUGGAUUUACGAUUUCAGAAUUCUUUAGUUGAAGUUUUCAUUCUCUGAUAUUUCGCUGAAUCAUAUAUGUAAGUGUAACAGAAAGAAAAUUAAAGCUUUGUAAGGGAAGAAAAAGAUCAGAGCUUUUUAGAAGAAGGGCAAAAAAAUCAAAGCUUAUAAGAAGAAAAAGUUUUAAGCUUUUAAGAAGAAGAAAAAUUUUGGAGCUUUCUAGAGAAAAGAAAGGAUCAUAGCAUUUAAAAUAAAUUUAAGAUUAAGUUUUUUUGACUUUUGUGUUCAACUCUCCUCCUAGAUAUGUUUGUUCAAUUUACUGUUUAAUAUUAAGCCUUUAGUUGAAGUUGUUAUCUUUAUUAAUUGGUUGACUCAUAUAUGUAACUGUAAAAGAAAGAAAACGGAAUUUUCAUAGAAAAACGUCGAAUCUUUUAGGAAGAAGAAAAAGAUCAAGCUCCCCAGAAAAGGGAAACAAAGUCAGAGCUUCCAGGAAAAGGAAAACGAUCAAGUUGUGUUCGUAUUAAAUCAUGCUGAAUUGUAUUUAAGAACUAGAAACAUGUGAGGUAACUCAAAUACUCGAUAGAUAUGCAUGUGUUCAGACUUCAGACACAUGAAUUAUAAUCUUUUAUUUUAUGAUAAAAUUUAAAUUUGGAGAAGCGGUUAUGUUUCUUACAAUAUCUUUGUGUCCUUUAUAAUUGCUUCGAUUCAUCACUCUGUUUUAUGUCGUCUGGAUGUCAAGUGGUCAGUGAGUCUUUUGUUCCAUUUUCUAUAUGAUUACUGCAUUCUAGUACUCUGUUUUUUUGUUGGAUUGUAUGUGCUGUGCUGGAUUAUGCAGUAAUUUUUUUACUGAAAACUUGUUUGUAUGUAUAUGUUAUGUACAUCUAGCUUCUAAUGGAUGAACAAUUAAUCUUUCGAUACAAAAUAUCAUAGCAUUCAAAAGAAAAAAAAAAAGAUUCAAAUUUUUGUUAGGCUGGACUCUGUUCCUUAAUUUGUUUCUUGGAUUAACUAGGUCUGCAACGAUAUAUGAAAACAUUAUUAGAAAGUAGAAAAAGGUCAAAGCUUUUAACAAGAAGAGAUUCAAGCCAUACUUUAAUUUAUGAUCGAAUCAUGUCAAAGCUUUUAAUAUGUAGAAAAGGAAAAAAAUCAAAGUCUUUUCAGGACUAAAUUUCAUGUCAAAUUAUAUACAAGUACUAGAAACACAGGCUAAAACUGAAUCUAAGUACAAAGAAUGAACCGAAAUAUUAAAUUAGUUAGCAGGUACUCUUCUCAUGCAUAGAUGUUAAAUUAUUAUGUUGGUUUUGUGGUUUUUUUCUUGGCCAUGCUAGUCUUGUAGUCGAAUUUGUUUAUAUCCUUUUUAGUCCUCAUUUUAUUACUAUCAUGUCUGUUGUCAUGUAUAUGAUUACAUGUUUGUGUUUGAUCUUAUUCUCAGUCCUCAUACACACACACACCACACACACACACACACACACAUACACUUCUGUGUUUGCGUGUGUGUCUAAUCAUAUUUUUUAUGCUGUCACAGGAGAGUUCACUGAAAGAAUUCCAGGAUUUCUGAGAGGAGAUUUGCGCCCAAUCUGCUAGUAAGCACUCUUCCUUUUCAAAAACCAAGGUUAACUUUCUGCUUUCUCAGGGUUUUAUACUAAAAAAAAUGAUUCGGGUGUUCUUCGUCUAGUGGUAUGUAUAGUUAAAAUUAUGUAUUUAUAUGAUCGCAUAUGAAGAUGAGCAAAGAUUUUAAUUGCUACAUAAAGCUGAUUUAAUGGACACAGUAACUUGGGCUAAAUCUGAUAUUCAUGCUCAAUUUGCUAGCAAGUACAGUAUUCUUUCCUUUUCACAGAUUGUAGUUUAACUUUACUUUUGGUUUUUUACUUGUAAUUAUAUUUGUAAAAUUUCAGUUGAAAAUCAUUCUGUGUAUGCCCUUUAUGCUGUUGAAAUUCUUUGUGUUCCUUAUAAAGCUUUCAACCAGAAGAUUUGAGCUUUCAAGAAGAAAAGAUUAAAGCUUUUGUCCUUGAAAUUCUUUGCUCAAAAGAGUUGAUUACUUGUAUAGAAUUAUAUAAAAUAAUCUGACCGGUAUUCAGUCUAAUCUCAUAUAAAUUUAUGCUGUAAAUAGACCCCGAUAGUUGUUCUUUUUGUGUGUUUGGAGCAAAAUACCGUCUCUUGCCAAAUUUGUCAGAUUAAAUUACAAGAGAGUUUAAGCAAGUUCAGAAAUAGAAAAUGAUGUGCUAGACAACCCAGACCAAGAGACUUUAACCAGUUUCAAUAAAACAACGAGAUAUGUGCUAGACAACCCUGGCCAAAGUAAAUGCAAGUACAGUUAUCACUGAAAGUCACACUCUAUAGCACCCUGGCAAAAAUUUCAGGUUUUGAGAUGGAAUAAUACAUCCAACCAGUGGUUUGCGUCAGCCUUCCUCUCCCCACUUCAAUUAAGUUUUUUCUGAUAUGUUUUAUCAAUUGUUUUUUUUUUGACUUUUUGUGUUUGGAAAAAUUCUGUUAUCUUCCUAUUUAUUAGUUGAAAUUGCAUGUGUUCUUAAUCAUUCAUUUUAUCUAUUAUUGGUCGUUUUGAAUUUUUCAGUGAUGGUUGGGACUGCACAGGCUGACAAAACGAGGCAAAGUGGUUCCAAUCCAAACAUGCAAUCUAUGCUCAAUCAUAAUCUGUUGAUCUUCCCAUUUUAUACCAUGCCAAACUGUAUGGAGACGAUGACAAAAGCUAAAAGCUAACGACUGUUUGCCAGUUUGCCAGCAAGUACUCCUGCUCUUUCACAAACUAAGGUUAGUCUUGUGUUGACCGUGAUGUUCAUAGUAUUUAGUUAUUAUCUUUUAGGUUUUUGAUUUGAAACUGAUCUGGGUAUGGCUGUCAAGUAGGUGAAAUUGUUCAUGUAAACUGUUUAUUGUUAUCUGUGAUGCGUUACUGCAAUUUGAAACUGAUCUGGGUAUGGCAUGUCAUGGUGGACAUCAUGUAUCCUUUGUAGUGCAUCUUGAUCUCGUGUGUAUAGUGUAUACUUAAUUAUUAAAGAACAUCAAAUCUUUGAAGAAGUAAAGUUUAAAGCUUUCUUAGGAAUGUGCUAAACUGUACUGAAGAACCGGAAAAAAUGACAUAAGUGUCAUCAUUAUAUAUAUUCAUCUUACAAACUCGAAAAUGGUAGAUAUAAGAGAUAACAAACCUGAACCCAUUUGUCUCGCUAAUUGAGGUUAUGUCCUAUUAUCAAACACUAAACGCUUAUGAAUUCUGUUAAGUAUAAAAGAGUACUGAACAUCAACACUAAACUCUUAUGAAUUCUGUAAAGUAUGAAAGAGUAAUGAACCUGGUAGGCUGUUACAGUAAAUGAUCCUGUACAAGCGCUUUAGCAGAAUCACAUAUAUCUCUACAAAUGAUAGGCAUACAUAACAUAAAGUUGCUCAGCAUGAAUUAGAUUUUUUUUCAUGGACCAUUCAUUAUGAAGAAACAUAAUUCAAUAGUAGAAAAUCUAUUACUCAUGGAUUCAUCAGGUACUUCCAAGUCAGGUAUGAUUGUUAUGACCUGGAGUAUCCAGUCUGAUAGAUCUGACUUGGAGUAUACAAUCUAAUCUCAUAUAAAUCUAGGCUGUAACCCUGACGGUUAAUUUGUGUUGAGCAAAAUACACACUCUUGCCAAUAUGUCAGAUGUCGUUACAAGAGAGUAUGAACAAUUUCAAGAUAUUUGUUAGACAACCCUCUGAAUAGUUAUGUGCUAGACAACUGUAUAGUGGAAAAUAGAAAAUGAAAUUUACACAAAAGUCACACAACUGUACUGCAACCCCCUGAAUCCUGGACUACUUGUGCUCCAUUCCCAACCUUCAAAUCAUAAUACCUGAAUAAUAUGAUGCAACAAAUUAAUAUAUCUCCCGCUAGACAAAGAAAAAAAGUGCAUGCAUAGCAUGUAAAAAAAUGCAUGCAUAAGCUAUUGUAGAGGCACAAGCAGUAUAUGUAAUGCUGAAAUCACAUCUCAAGUGCUGUAAUGCAAUGCAAAACCAGCACUGAAUUUUUAUGUUUAACAAAAACUCUGUAACCAAGCUUAAUCAGUAAAAUAGUAAAAGUGCUCAGUAAGUUAGUUGCAGUAACUUUUUAUUGAAACGGUGUCGUGAGGAGGAAAAGACAUGAAUAUCAGCAUGGGAUCCUGUGUAUAACGGACUGAAAGGACAGCGUAUAAGAUGGCGACACGUGGCGUGUUGGUGGGUUAAAUAGGAGACCAGGCAGCAGAGUAGAGUAUGCGCGAAGAGAAUCAUUUUACUGGCUGUUUGUUAUUUUCUGUAUUGUCUUUCCUUCCGUUGUUUCCUAUAUCUCUGUAGCUAAACCUUUCAUUUUAAUGGAGUUUUAAGCUGUUUUCCUCUUUAUUUUCAUUGUUAUUACUGGCUGUUGGUUACAAGUGGUAUCAGGCCAGACGUUCCUUGGCUUGCAUUCACGCAUCUAAAUGGCCGAAGGGACAAGAAUCAGAGAUCUGGAUGCAAGGCUGGGUACUCAUGAGACUAAGCUGAAGGAGAUGAAUGAAGGCUUAACCCAGACUCGCACAGAGGUCACUCAACAACUCACAGAUAUGAAUACUCAAAUGGAUAAGCGUAUGGGUGGCAUUGAAUCUCGAAUGGAUCGUUUGGAUUCAAACUUCUUAGAGCUCAAACAACUUAUUCUGGGGUUACAAGUUCCACCUAACACCCCCACCGUCUCAACAGUAAGUGAGCCCAUACCUAUGCAAGGCUCUACGACGCAUCAAGAGGUAAAUCACCCUUCCUCUUCUUCGUUGUUCUUCCACGCUACUACACCUAAUACGGUAGCACACACUCAGUUUACUAUUCCACCAUUCAUGGGCCCCUUUCCCCGCUCACAAACACCAUUUACCAUCACCCAAACACCACCACACUUUGUCAACUCAACUCUCUCUACCACUAACCCAAUAUCAUAUACUACAGACUCUACAAGAAGCAAUUUACAACAGGUCUAGAUAAUUGUUUACCUUCGAGCCUAAUUCUUCAUUAUCGACUUGAUCAAUGCAUUAUCUUGAAAAAGAAAAAGAAAUUAGUGUCAGAUUUUUAUUUUGCUCGAAAUUGGAAUUUACAUAUUGAAAUUGAUAUUUAGAGUGCACCUUUUGCUUUCAUUUCCUUUUUCUGCUGUUUCUUUGCAGCUUUAUUCUUGUGCACUUCAAGCUGCUCCUCUUUCUUCUCGCUAUUUGUAGCAACAUGAGGAUCAUUGUCCUGUAUUGAAAAAACAUAAUUAACAUAAUUAAGAUCGGUAAAAAACGGAGGCCGUCUUAUAUAGUGCUGUGUUUAGUCCUCAUCAUAUUUAAUGGAGAAUGGACAAGAAAUCGGAAUUCAAGAAAGUCAACAAAGAGUUAAAAGUGGUGAUUCAAGAAAUGGUGUUAUCACUAUGCUUCAAGAUUCAGCAAGAAUUGGGGGUUCAACAACAAAGAGUUUGCAAAGACUUCAAUUACAACAGUGGUCAUUCAAGAAAUGGUGUUAUCACUAUGAUUCGAGAGAAUCUUGACCACUAUGAUGUUGGACCAGUGUAUUAGUAGUCUAACUAUUUAGUGCACUAACUGAUUUUAAUUGGACAACUCGUUGAAUGAUAGGUAGGGGUCUUCUAGCCCUAGGAGCACUCAUGAUUCUCAAAAAUUCACAGUUGUCUGCGAGAAUUCGUAUGCUAAUUUCACAAUUAAGAUGUGCAUAAACCUAAAACGAUCAUCAACAAACGUAGGAAAUCACAAAACAAACACAGAAGAAGCGAACACACAUAAUACCCAAAAACACACACACACACACACACACACACAGUGAUUGUAUCAAGAAAAGCAUACCAUGUGAGUCUGCAAUUGAGCCGCAGUUUCCCAAACAUUGCCGCAGUCGGGGCACACAUUGGGUUUCUUCGCAGUUGCAAUUUUGUGGUGGCAAGCCCGAUUAUGUUUGCUCAUUGCGGCCUGAGUGCCAAAGCUCAUCUUGUGAUCAAUACAAUAAAACUGUUUUCCUUUCGCCAUCGUUCAGUAAAUUCAAUUUCCAAUUAGUUGAUCUGAAUUUGACGAAGAUGAUUAUUGUGAAUGUAUGUUGAUGGGAUAUUUAUACUCGGCCUCACUAAUUGGGUUAUAAAAAGACGCUGGUAAAUAAUUUAGGGCUUUUCCCAAAAUUACUCAAACUUUAAAGAAUUUUUACAAACAUAUUAUAAUUUUUUUACAAUAAACUGCAAAAAUAUGGAGAUUUCAUUUGCAAUGCAACCACAAAUGCAAUAUUAAGAAAAUCUGUUAAAAAUUAUUUUUAAUUGCAUAAUAAGUUGAAAGGGGUUGCAAAUGAAGAAAAUGAGUACUCGUGCGGGAUCAAUACUAAUAUCACAAAAAUGACCAUGAAAUCAACUAAAGGUCUGUUUGGGAGUGUUGUUAAAAAUCUCAUAAAAAGAGUGUUGUAUAGAAAUGAGAUAGUUAUUUGGUUUUUGUUUUUUUUGGUAUUUACAUAUUGUAAGUUAUAAUAUAAAAAAUAAUGUUUGAUGAGUUUUGAUGGUAAAAUUUAUAACAAUUAGCUGCAAAAACUGAAAAAUAGUUUUUUUGCAAACGUAUGAGAGGACCUGUUUUUUCUAAAGCAGCUUUUGGGCUAAAAGCUGCUAUUCAGAAUACCUCUUUUCAGAUUUACCAAACAGUUUUUCACUUGUUUUUCAGCCAAACAACACUUCACUUGUUUUGUUAUUUGUUUUGUUAUUGCUGUUUCCAACCACAAAACCAAACAAUACCUAAAAACGAAUCAUUAAAUCCACCGUUAUCAACCAUUUAAUUGUAGUUUAUGUUUUGAGAUUUAACUUAAUAAGUUGAAAAAUAAGUGGAAAGCUGUUUUAUAGAUCUAAAAAUAGAGUUCCAGAGAAAAUGUAAAGAAAUCAUAUAUAUAUGGGUUUCAAAGGUUGAGAUUGAAACUUUUUUUUAAAAAUAUCCGCUAUAAUUUUCCGCGGAUAGAAACUUUUCUUUUCCGCGGAAAACGGGCAUAUUCCAAAAGAACUCAACUUUAAAUAUAUAUAGCAGCCAACAUUACUAAGGAUUACAUCAUGCCUUUGCCAAAAGCUACUGUAUUAUGCUAAACAACAAACUCCUAUUAUCAAGUCUACACCAGACUCAGUUGCUUCCUAUCAAGUGUCUCAUCAUAUAUAAUGACAACUGAAGGUUUUUUCAAGAUUUAUUUUCCAACUGCUGCCUUGAUGCGAGGAAAAUGCUCAGACCAGCGUGAAUAUCCUGAAAUGACAAUCUCAUAGAGAUCAACUUCCUCAUAGAACACAUCCUCACUACUAGCAGUCAUACUUCUCUUGAAGAGUUGACAGAGACCAGCCAACUUGCCAUCAUCAAAGCCUGGAUGUUGUCGAAGAGCAUCCUCCGAUGUGAAGUCUAGAAUUAAUGAAGAGAUAGUUGCAGCCAUCAUAACAACAGAGUGGUGACUACUAUUCUCCGACCAGUAAACCAAAGUUGCCAAGAGUUCAACUACGUCAGCACCAUCAAAGGAAAUAGGGACUUCUACUUUCUUUAACAGAAUGUUCAUAAGUGUAUCAUAUGCCAGAUAUACCAAACUACCAUCCUUUGCUUUCUCGCCAUUAAGACUAAUCAGCUUAAUGAGGCAACUUACAACAGCUUUUUGCGCUCCAGAAAAAGGUACAACACGACCAGUGGCGGAACCAGAGGGGGGCUAGGGGGUGCUAGAGCCCCCCUAACCUCGAAAAAACAAUGUAUAUUUUUUUUUCAGCCCCCGCUGAAUUAGUGUGAUGUCAGUAUAAUUUUUUUUAGUCCCCGCUGAAUUAUAAAUGUCAUAGAGAAGUAUUUUAUACAAACUCCUUAAUCUUUCUCUAAAAUUAAUAUAAACAAUCAACUCUUAACUAUUUAAGAAGCUGUAAAUUACACAAUAUCUCCAACAAUAUUCCCUACAUGCGCUCUCUAUCUAUAUCUGCUAGGAGUUUGUUGGACUUCAUUUCAUCUCCAUAUUCUUCACAUUUAGGCUAAAGAGCCCAUAUGAAGAAUCUUUUGGACAUGCUCUCAUAAGUCAUACGCACACAUUGACACUACCCUAACUCAGUGGAGUUCUUUUGGUGAAAGUUUUCUUCGCAAUUAUAAAUGAUUUGUCAUAAGCUUUACAACAAAGAACUCGAAAUAUUAUAAAUACUAUGACAAUGGUUCGAAGUAUGAAAAUUAAAUUGCAGAUAUUAAGAGAAAAAGAAUGGGAGGACAUUUUUAGAAGAUGUUCAGUGAUACUGUUAUAAAACUUGUUUACUGAUAAGUGGUAUUUAUACACACUUAUAGGCCUUCAUUUCCACUUAAAUUGGUUGAUUGUACUUAAGUGUGUAGUGUCUUUUGAUGUGUUUUUAUUGUUUUUCUGUGCAGGUCACGAGUUGAGGUGAUGAAGUGAUUUUCUAUCAUUUUAGGUUGGUUUUGGUGCAUUCUGUGCGAGAAUAGAGAAUUGUGGAUUCACCGAGACUUGGGAUUUUGUGGGUAUAUCUUCUACAAACCCUCACGAGUAGGGGUGUGCACGGGUCGGUUCGGUUCGGUUUUUACCAAAAAGUGUUACCAAACCGUGUAUGUCGGUUCGGUUCGGUUUCUAGGUAUUAACCGUAACCGAACCGUUCGGAACGGUUUUUCUCGGUUCGGUUAACCGUUUGUCGGUUUCGGUUUUUUUCGGUUUUCAAAUUUAAUAGUUUAUUCUCUUAAAUAUCAUGCUAAUAAAAAAUUAUAAAUAUCAUAUUAACAUCGAUAAAAAUUAUAAAUAUCAUAUUAACAGUGCAAAAAUUAAUUAAAGGCAGUGAACAUAUUGAUAUUAAAUCAUUAAAAGGAUGACAAGAUUGAACAAACUUUUUUCUUGUAAAACUUGAAAACUCAGGACACAGGGACUAGACUACAUUUUUUGUUACCACACAUUAGCUUUGUUACCACACAUUGGCAAAUGGUGACAAUAAUCGGGUAAAACCUGACCUNNNNNNNNNNNNNNNNNNNNNNNNNNNNNNNNNNNNNNNNNNNNNNNNNNNNNNNNNNNNNNNNNNNNNNNNNNNNNNNNNNNNNNNNNNNNNNNNNNNNNNNNNNNNNNNNNNNNNNNNNNNNNNNNNNNNNNNNNNNNNNNNNNNNNNNNNNNNNNNNNNNNNNNNNNNNNNNNNNNNNNNNNNNNNNNNNNNNNNNNNNNNNNNNNNNNNNNNNNNNNNNNNNNNNNNNNNNNNNNNNNNNNNNNNNNNNNNNNNNNNNNNNNNNNNNNNNNNNNNNNNNNNNNNNNNNNNNNNNNNNNNNNNNNNNNNNNNNNNNNNNNNNNNNNNNNNNNNNNNNNNNNNNNNNNNNNNNNNNNNNNNNNNNNNNNNNNNNNNNNNNNNNNNNNNNNNNNNNNNNNNNNNNNNNNNNNNNNNNNNNNNNNNNNNNNNNNNNNNNNNNNNNNNNNNNNNNNNNNNNNNNNNNNNNNNNNNNNNNNNNNNNNNNNNNNNNNNNNNNNNNNNNNNNNNNNNNNNNNNNNNNNNNNNNNNNNNNNNNNNNNNNNNNNNNNNNNNNNNNNNNNNNNNNNNNNNNNNNNNNNNNNNNNNNNNNNNNNNNNNNNNNNNNNNNNNNNNNNNNNNNNNNNNNNNNNNNNNNNNNNNNNNNNNNNNNNNNNNNNNNNNNNNNNNNNNNNNNNNNNNNNNNNNNNNNNNNNNNNNNNNNNNNNNNNNNNNNNNNNNNNNNNNNNNNNNNNNNNNNNNNNNNNNNNNNNNNNNNNNNNNNNNNNNNNNNNNNNNNNNNNNNNNNNNNNNNNNNNNNNNNNNNNNNNNNNNNNNNNNNNNNNNNNNNNNNNNNNNNNNNNNNNNNNNNNNNNNNNNNNNNNNNNNNNNNNNNNNNNNNNNNNNNNNNNNNNNNNNNNNNNNNNNNNNNNNNNNNNNNNNNNNNNNNNNNNNNNNNNNNNNNNNNNNNNNNNNNNNNNNNNNNNNNNNNNNNNNNNNNNNNNNNNNNNNNNNNNNNNNNNNNNNNNNNNNNNNNNNNNNNNNNNNNNNNNNNNNNNNNNNNNNNNNNNNNNNNNNNNNNNNNNNNNNNNNNNNNNNNNNNNNNNNNNNNNNNNNNNNNNNNNNNNNNNNNNNNNNNNNNNNNNNNNNNNNNNNNNNNNNNNNNNNNNNNNNNNNNNNNNNNNNNNNNNNNNNNNNNNNNNNNNNNNNNNNNNNNNNNNNNNNNNNNNNNNNNNNNNNNNNNNNNNUUCUGAACAAUGACAGAACCUGAAGCACAACCAGACAGUAAGGCAUUGAAGGAUUUCUCUAUGCCAAAGAUCGAUGAUAUCCAAUCAAGCAUCGUCAGGCCUGCAAUCACAGCCAAAGCCUUUGAAAUUAAACCAGGAACUAUUCAAAUGGUCCAGAACUCGGUACAGUAUGGGGGUUCUCCUACGGAAGACCCCAAUAUGCAUAUACGGAAUUUUAUAGAGAUCUGUGACACUUUCAAAUUUAAUGACGUCUCUGAUGAAGCUGUAAAGCUAAGACUUUCCCAUUUCACUGAGAGAUAAGGCUAAGGGAUGGUUACAUUCUUUACCAUCUGGUUCUAUUACUACAUGGGAAGAUCUAGCUCAGAAAUUUCUCACUAAAUUCUUCCCCAUGGCAAAGACUGCUGCACUACGAAAUGCUCUAUCUCAAUUCUCUCAACAAUCAGGAGAAACAUUCUGUGAAGCCUGGGAGCGAUAUAAGGAGAUGCUAAGGAAGUGUCCCCAUCAUGGCAUGCCGGAUUGGAUGCAAAUAAACUGUUUCUAUAAUGGUCUUGGACCUCAAUCCAGACCUAUGCUUGAUGCUGCUUCUGGAGGUGCGCUAUGGGCUAAAAGUUAUGAAGAAGCUUAUGAUCUUAUUGAAAUGAUGGCUGCUAAUGAAUAUCAGAACCCUACUCAAAGACUUACUCAAGGGAAAGUAGCCGGAAUUCUUGAUCUUGACACGUCUACAGCUAUAGCAGCUCAACUUAAAGCUCUCACGAUGAAAGUCGACUCUCUGGCUCACCAAGGAAUUCAACAGCCAAUCAUUAUUUGCGAAUUAUGUGCUGGUACUCAUGCUACUGAUCAGUGUGCCAUUUCUAGUGAAUCAGCACAAUUUGUGAGCAACUUUCAGAGAGGUCAACAGCCUGCUCCAGCUACUUAUCAUCCUAACAACAGAAAUCAUCCGAAUUUCAGCUGGAGUAAUAAUCAGGGUUAUAAUCAGCCCCAACAAGGAUUUCAACAGGGACCUAAACAAUAUAGUCAGGCCGGAAAUUCUCAACAGUAUGCACCUAAACAGCCAUAUCACCCUCCGGGAUUUCCGACCCAUGGGCAAGCAACUAACGAAAGGUCUGACAUGGAAGAGCUAAGACUCAUGUACAAGAGUCAGGCAGUAACGUUAAAAGCCUUGGAGACACAAGUCGGCCAGUUAGCUAAUGCCUUACUAAGCAGACCACAGGGGAAUCUCCCUAGUGAUACAGAGGUACCAGGAAAGAGGGACCCUAAAGAGCAAGUCCAAUCCAUUACGCUGAGAUCUGGAAAAACUACAACAGGGCCUACCUCAACAUUAGUCCAAGAUCAGGGUGAUGAACUGCAAGAAAUUCCAGCAGAAGUUCCUGCAAAUACAAGUGGCACCAACCCUACUGUUGAAAAGGAUAAGACUAUUCCUGCAGCUGCUCCGAUGUCAAAACCAGUAUAUCCACCACCUCCAUUUCCUAGGAGGUUAAAAAAACAGCAGCUGGAUAAACAAUUUGGUAAAUUCCUUGAAGUAUUCAAAAAGCUUCACAUCAACAUUCCAUUUGCGGAAGCACUCGAGCAAAUGCCUAGUUAUGCCAAGUUCAUGAAGGGUAUUCUUUCAAAAAAGCUAAAGCUUGAAGAGUUAGAGACCGUGGCUUUAACGGAGGAAUGUAGUGCUGUACUUCAACAGAAAUUACCACCUAAGCUUAAGGAUCCGGGAAGCUUUACUAUUCCUUGCACUAUUGGGAAGUUCUCUUUUGAUAAGUGUCUGUGCGACUUGGGAGCUAGCAUCAAUCUUAUGCCUCUAUCUAUCUUCACACAACUUGGCCUGCCAGAGCUCAAGCCAACAAAUAUGUCUUUACAGCUGGCUGAUCGUUCGAUCACAUAUCCGAGGGGUAUAAUUGAAGAUGUGCUAGUCAAGGUUGAUCAAUUAAUAUUUCCAGCCGACUUCGUGAUUCUUGAUUUUGAAGAAGACAAAAAGAUUCCUAUCAUCUUGGGUAGACCAUUCUUAGCCACAGGGCAAACAUUGAUCGAUGUCCAAAAAGGUGAACUUACUAUGAGAAUACAAAAUCAGACGGUCACGUUCAAUGUAUUCAAUGCAAUGAAAUUACCAACCGAUGAGGAAUCUUGUUUCAGUAUGGAUGUAAUUGAUACUACAGCAGAAGCUAAGAGCAAGCGGAUUUUACAGGAUGAUGCAUUGGAAGCGAUCCUUACAAAUGAUGAGGAAUGGGGCAGUGAAGAAGAAUUGGAAGAAAUCCAUCAUCUUAACUCAUCACCUUGGCGAAGGAAUUUUGAACCACCUGUCGAAUCCCUUGGCUUGGAGGAACAAAAAGAGGAUCACAAACCACUACAACCAUCAGUAAUCGAAGCACCUAAACUCGAACUUAAACCACUACCGGAUCACUUAAGGUAUGCAUUUCUUGGUGAAAGUUCUACUCUUCCUGUUAUUAUUGCAUCUAACUUGUCAGGUGAGGAAGAGGAAAAACUAUUGAGAGUGCUAAGGGAAUUCAAAACAGCAAUUGGGUGGACUAUAGCUGAUAUCAAGGGAAUCAGUCCAUCAUUCUGUCAACACAAAAUUCUCAUUGAAGAAGGAAGCAAACCUUCAGUGGAACAACAAAGAAGGCUAAAUCCUAUCAUGAAGGAGGUGGUCAAGAAAGAGAUUCUUAAAUGGCUUGAUGCAGGUAUCAUAUAUCCAAUCUCAGAUAGCUCAUGGGUGAGUCCAGUACAAUGUGUGCCUAAGAAAGGAGGCAUGACAGUAGUAGCCAACGAAAAAGGGGAACUCAUCUCAACUAGAACUGUCACUGGUUGGAGGAUUUGCAUGGACUACAGAAAGCUGAAUAAAGCUACAAGGAAGGAUCACUUCCCUCUGCCUUUUAUUGAUCAGAUGCUUGACAGGUUGGCUGGUCAUGAAUUCUAUUGCCUGUUGGAUGGGUAUUCUGGCUAUAAUCAGAUUGCUAUUUCUCCGGAGGAUCAAGAAAAGACAACCUUUACAUGCCCUUAUGGUACAUUUGCAUUCCGAAGAGUACCUUUUGGCUUAUGCGGUGCACCAGCCACUUUUCAAAGGUGCAUGAUGGCUAUAUUCUCAGAGAUGAUCGGCAUCAAUGUGGAGGUAUUCAUGGACGACUUUUCUGUGUUUGGAACAUCUUAUGACGAAUGCCUCACGAAUCUGAGAAUGGUUCUUAAGCGAUGUGUGGAAACUAAUCUGAUUCUCAAUUGGGAAAAAUGUCAUUUCAUGGUGCAAGAAGGAAUCAUAUUGGGUCAUAAGGUAUCUGCCAAAGGACUGGAAGUUGAUAAAGCGAAAGUGGAAACAAUUAAAAAUCUUCCUCCACCACUCUCGGUCAAAGGAAUCCGAAGUUUCCUUGGUCAUGCAGGUUUCUAUCGAAGGUUCAUCAAGGAUUUCUCAAAAAUUUCUAAACCUCUUUGCAAUCUGUUAGAGAAAGACAUUCCAUUCAAAUUUGAUGAAGAGUGCUUGAAAGCAUUUGAAAUCUUGAAAAAGAAGUUGACAUCAGCACCUAUCAUCACUGCACCUGAUUGGAGUAAACCAUUCGAAUUGAUGUGUGAUGCCAGUGAUUAUGCUGUAGGAGCUGUACUAGGCCAGCGUACAAGUAAUGUGUUUCAUGUUAUCUAUUACGCCAGCAAAACAUUAAAUGAUGCACAAUUGAACUACACUACUACAGAAAAAGAACUUCUAGCCAUUGUCUUUAGCUUUGAGAAGUUCAGGUCUUACCUUCUUGGAACAAAGGUAGUGGUAUAUACUGAUCAUGCAGCCAUUCGAUAUCUCAUCACAAAGAAAGAUUCUAAACCAAGACUAAUUCGCUGGGUUUUAUUGCUCCAAGAAUUUGAUGUGGAAAUUAAAGAUCGCAAGGGCACAGAAAAUCAGGUAGCGGAUCAUUUAUCCAGACUAGAAGAUCACAGCAAACAAACUAUAGACAACACUCUAAUCAAUGAAUUCUUCCCAGACGAACAGUUGUUUGGAGUUGAUACAGAAGAGCCAUGGUUCGCUGGCAUUGUAAAUUAUCUGGUGAGUAAAAUCAUUCCUCCAUAAUUCUCUUAUGCUCAACGCAAGAAAUUCCUUCACGAUGUGAAAUGGUAUAUUUGGGAUGAACCCUUUUUAUUUAAACAAGGAGUAGAUCAAAUUCUCAGACGGUGUAUUCCGAAUAAUGAAGUUGAGGGAGUUUUGCGUGAGUGCCAUUCCACUGGUUAUGGAGGCCAUUACAGCGGAGAAAAGACAGCAAAGAGGGUACUUCAAGCAGGUUUUUACUGGCCAACUCUGUUUAAAGAUGCUCACCAGUUUGUAUUAGGUUGCGAUCGUUGUCAGCGUACAGGUAAUAUUUCUAGGAGGAAUGAAAUGCCUCUUAAAAUGCUUUUGGAGGUCGAAAUAUUUGAUGUUUGGGGAAUUGACUUUAUGGGACCGUUCGUUUCUUCUUGCAACAACCAGUAUAUUCUAUUAGCAGUCGAUUAUGUGUCUAAAUGGGUGGAAGUAAAAGCUUUACCUACAAAUGAUGCUAAGGUGGUCUUGCAAUUUCUUCAAAAACAAAUCUUUACCCGGUUCGGAGUCCCUAGGGUCAUUAUCAGUGAUGAAGGCUCUCACUUUUGCAAUCGGAAAUUCACAACCUUAAUGACGAGGUAUAAUAUCAAUCACCGGGUUGCUACUGCUUAUCAUCCUCAAACGAAUGGUCAAGCUGAAGUGUCUAAUAGAGAGAUCAAACGCAUAUUGGAGAAGGUGGUUAAUCCUUCUAGGAAGGACUGGUCCUUACGAUUAGAUGAGGCUGCUUGGGCUUAUCGAACAGCUUACAAAACACCAUUGGGUACUUCACCAUUUCAGUUAGUGUUUGGGAAGGCUUGUCACUUACCAGUGGAGUUGGAACAUAAAGCUUAUUGGGCACUAAAGAAAUUGAAUUUCGACUUACAGCUAGCUGGAGAAAAACGCAUGAUUCAACUCAAUGAGUUGGAGGAAUUCCGCCUCCGUGCUUAUGAAAAUAACAAACUCUACAAAGAAAAGGUGAAAAGAUUGCAUGAUCAGCGGCUGAUACAAAAAUCUUUUGUGGUUGGUCAAUUGGUUCUAUUGUAUAACUCUCGGUUGAAGCUGUUUCCAGGGAAACUCAAGUCACGCUGGUCAGGGCCAUUUACAGUCAAGACGGUAUUUCCCCACGGUGCGGUAGAAAUCUAUGCAAAAUCACCGGAUGAAUCAUUUAAGGUUAAUGGUCAAAGGUUGAAGCCUUACUUUGGCGGAAAUGUGAAUCGUGAGGUACAAACCACGAUUCUUCAAUCGGAAUCGGAUUAAUUCUGGACUUCACGUCGAGCUAACGACGUUAAACAAGCGCUUCGUGGGAGGCAACCCACGCAUUGGAACCACAUUGUACCAUUGUAAACCUCAAAAAACACAAAAAUCGAAAAAUUUCAGCCUCCGGUGUCAGACACUAGCGCGCCCGCGCUAGUGUCAGGCGCGACCGCGCUAAGUUGCACGGCGCGCCCGCGCUAUACUUAGCGCGGCCGCGCUACUGACUGCCGGACCGGCGGAUUUUUCCCCCAAAAAUAGUUUUUUUUUCGUUUUAAAAAGCCCACAAUCCUAAUUUUGCAUGCCUAGCCCGAAAUACAUCCCAUAAAACCCUAACUCAGCCCUCCAAUCUCUAUAUAAACACAAAACAUAUCUCCAAUUCCCAUUAUAAUUCUCUAAACCCUACCUAUAUAUACACAUCCAUACAUACAACCUUCAUUCAAUCUCUCCAACCCAAUACACACAAACCUCUUACAAAUCUAAUUCUCUACCAAUGGCACCCAAAAGAGCCCGAAGAUCACAAGGACCGAGCACCCGAGCCGCCGCAUCUAGCGAUUCUUCCUCGAUGGGCGAGGUUGAGUUUACCUCGGAUGGUGCGAGAAACGAGUUUCAACGGCUUAUGAAUAAGUCGUUAGUUAAGGAGAGGGGAUUCUUGCCCACGGCGGAAGAUGGUGAGCUCUUGAACAUGAUUCAAGAACGUGGUUGGGAAUCUUUUUGCGAGGCUCCGGAGGCGGUUCCCUUGGCUAUUGUUCGAGAAUUUUAUGCUAAUGCCAAGGAGAAUCGUGAUGGAUUCACGGUUGUUCGGGGAAUCCGGGUGGAUUACAGUGCGGAUGCAAUCCGUAGAGUCAUUGGGGGGCGUGCCAGGCGCCCUGAUGAAGAAGAUUGGGUGGUGGAGAGGAUUGGGCGUGCAAAACGCCGAUUUGAUGAUGAUCCGGUUGAUUUGGAGCGGCUAGUAUAUGAUAUGUGUGUGCCGGAUACACGUUGGAAGAUGACUGCACCGCCUUUGCCGGCACACGUUUCGUUUCCAGCAGCCGCGUUGAACCGGUAUGCAAAGGCGUGGAACGCCUUCAUAUGUGCCAACAUCAUGCCAUCGUCACAUGGGCAUGAGGUGAUAGUGGAGAGAGCGAUUCUGCUCUAUGGGAUCGUCUUGGGCAAGUAUAUUGACCUGGGACAUGUUAUUCAUCAGGGGAUUCUGAGGUUCUUGCGAGGAGGAACCACUGGUGCCAUUCCCCAUGGCACAAUUGUUACCAAGCUCUGUCGAUCGAGUGGUGUUCGUUGGCCAUCCAACGAGCAAUUACAGUUGCCGGCAACACCUAUUGAUCAUUCGGCGAUCAGUCGGAUGACAGAGUGGGAAGGAGGAGUUCCCCACCCUCGAGGCCUCGGAUACAUAUAUGAUGAGGUGCCAGGGGGACGGUCCAGCAUUGUGAGGAGGGAGCAGCCUAGAGCUCUGGAGCUGGUACUUCACAGACGGAGAGGAGCUCCGAACCGAUGGGAGAUGUUCAUUAUCGCCGACUAGCGAGACGGAUGGACACUAUGCAUGACAUCCACCAGAGGUUUGCAUUUGACUUGACACAAGCUCUUGGUAAUGCUUUCCAGGCACAGGGGGUCACAGUUCAGUGGCCAGUAUUCGGAGCAGGGAUGCAGUAUCCUCCACCUGAUUCACCUCCAGCAGAGGAGGGGGAGGACUCGGACUCCGAGUAGGUAUGUGGGUGCUCUAGCCUUUUUACCGCUUUCAAUGGGGACAUUGUAAUUUAAGUUUGGGGUGGUAAUCUAAGGAAGAGCAUAUUAUUAUGUAGUUUAUUAUUGCAUGUGUUAGUUAGUUCAUGUAGUUCACGUUUAUUUUAUGUUGAUUUGAUUAUUUCUCACGUUUUUUUAUUUUACUCACGUUUUUUUUAUUUCGCAUAGUAACUGUCAUAGUAGUAUCACGAGCAUUUGCAUGAAUUAUGAAGUUAAGCCAAGUUAAUUGCCUAUGAUGAGUUAUGUGCGUAGUUCUUGAUUAGUAAUUUCAAUUGCAAUGCUAGGUUAGUACUUGGAAAUUGCUUGUGUUGGAAAUUGUAAUUCACAUAUGUUCUUGAGAUUUUUAUUUUGCAUAGUAACUGUCAUAGUAGUAUCACGAGCAUUUGCAUGAAUUAUGAAGUUAAGCCAAGUUAAUUGCCUAUGAUGAGUUAUGUGCGUAGUUCUUGAUUAGUAAUUUCAAUUGCAAUGCUAGGUUAGUACUUGGAAAUUGCUUGUGUUGGAAAUUGUAAUUCACAUAUGUUCUUGAGAUAGGAUUUAGACGAAAUUCCAUGAAUUCUAGGAUUGAAUUGAACACCCUUCAGCUUAGGUCUGUAAAUCUUAAGUUUUGGGAACGUGAGGGGUAGUGACCCAACGCUCGCUACAUGGGUACUAGUGCAUAAAUCUUUAGGGAUCUCAACCAUUGCACGGUUAAAUAAACCACUAGAAUAGAGUGAAUAAUUGGUGUGUGAAGUCUUGUGGUGUUCGUAACGCAUUUACACUGCGAAGCGCUCUGACCUUAGACCGAGCAAUUAAUCACCAAUAGAAAGAGAAAAAAAAAUAAUAUAGUGAAUAAAAUAGAAGGGUGUGGACAUUCUUUGGGACCUUGGCUUUUAGUUGGACUUGAGUGACGGGGUGUUAGUUUUAAACUUUUACGAUAAGUCUUGUGGUGUUCGUAACGCAUUUACACUGCGAAGCGCUCUGACCUUAGACCGAGCAAUUAAUCACCAAUAAAAAAAAAAAAGAAAAAAAAGAAAAAAAAUAAUAUAGUGAAUAAAAUAGAAGGGUGUGGACAUUCUUUGGGACCUUGGCUUUUAGUUGGACUUGAGUGACGGGGUGUUAGUUUUAAACUUUUACGAUUCUUGAUUGGGAUUCUGUGGGAGUAGUAGUUUUUGUCUUGUCUCAAUAAAAGAGCAUGCUUGCACACACUGGCACUCCACACUUGUAAAUAGAAGAGUAAUUGACUUAGUAGCGAGAGAGAUGAAAUUCGAGAACAUUAGCACAAUCUGAGGUAUUAUAAUUGGCAAGGCAAUUACUUCAUAGUUCACUCAUUCAUCACGUAGUUGCAUUCAUGCAUUGCAUUGUAUUAUUGUAUAGUGUCGUUGACGCUUGAGGACAAGCAUCAGUUUAAGUUUGGGGGUGUGAUAAGUGGUAUUUAUACACACUUAUAGGCCUUCAUUUCCACUUAAAUUGGUUGGUUGUACUUAAGUGUUUAGUGUCUUUUGAUGUGUUUUUAGUGUUUUUCUGUGCAGGUCACGAGUUGAGGUGAUGAAGUGAUUUUCUAUCAUUUUAGGUUGUUUUUGGUGCAUUAUUUGCAAGAAUAGAGAAUUGUGGAUUCAUCACGACUUGGGAUUUUGUGGGUACAUCUUCUACAAACCCUCACGAGAACACACUCGUCCACUAGAGCUAUCUAGGGGUUUAAAGGGCUUGUUGCAUGUGCUAAAUGCAACCGUGAUCACCUACGGAAGUGGUACUAGAGCGAGGAAGGACAUGCACGCGAGAACGAGCGAGAAACGAAGAAACAGGGCUGCCAUGACAGACAGUAGCGCGCCCGCGCUACUUGUUAGCGCGCCCGCGCUACCUUCUGCUGCCACUAGCGCGCCUGCGCUAGUUUAGCGCGGCCGCGCCCAGCAGAAGUGCCCCGGGCCGAUUUUUACAGCUUUUCUGACGGAUUUUCGCAGCGGUCGAGGCCCGGUUGACUUGGUCAAUGUAAUUUAAUUUCUCGUGUGUAAAACCCUAGCCUCGUAGAAGUAGUUUUUAGUAGAGAACAAUAUCGUAGUUUCAGUUUAAUCAUUCAAGCACAUUAUCAGUUUGUAUUAGAUCGUUCUUCGCGAGGAAGUGACAGUUUCGAGCGAGAUCGUGAACAUCAAAUCUGUAACGUGUGAUCUUUAUUAUUAAUUCAAGCAUUUUUAUUCCGUUUAAUUCUUGUCUUUUAUUUAUCAUGUUUUCAUUAGAACCCAUGAUGUCGAUUAGUUCGAUUAUGAACUAACCGCCUUCAUGGGAUUCUAAUGGAUUUAUCGAUGUAGUCUAGUAACGAUUAUAAUUACGUGAUUUUGUGACAUAUGUUGAUUGCUUUGCAUGAGCCGUACUUAUUCUUCUUAGAAGCGUAGCUAACUUCUAAGUUGUUUGUUAAUUCUUUCUGAAGCGAGAGUGGAUGAUUGAAUUUAGAACUAUGCCAUGUAAACAUAGGAUUAUGUGAAUGAAACAUAAUUUGUGGUAGACUUGAACUAUUUUUAUCACCCUGUGUAAUCACGAUAGAUGACUUGCUAUUAAACCUCUCUGCUUACACUACCGCUAUAGAGAUAUAGGGUCUGAGCUUUGUUGGUGUCCAUGAGAUUUCUGUCUUAAUUGCGGAUUUUGAUUGGUAUGAUAUGUGUGCAACGAGAGUUGGCAUGUAUUACUUUCGUGUUGUCUGAUUAGGAUCAACAGUCACAUGUUAAUCAGUAAUUUCAAUUCUAGAUGAAUUCGAUAAUGAAGUUAGAAUCCCAUGUGUUUUCCUAUUCUGAAUUUGAUUAGUAAUUUUAGUUAUUAGUAUAAAAGAAACCAUCCUUGUUAAUUGUCUUGGCAGUGAAAAUUGAUCAUACAUUGUUGCAUAGGUGCGUAUUCUUAAUUCACCAGUCUCUGUGGGAUCGAACUUAAUAUAUUACUUGUGAUCACGUGCGCUUGCGUGUAGAUUUCACCGAACAUUUACUAAUUAUUACCUUUUUAUUUAACAGUUUAUUGAUCUUAUUUUCCAAGAGAUAGAUAACCGUUUUACAGAAGUAAACAUAGAGCUACUACUUUAUAUUUGCUCUUUGGAUCUUAGGAAUUAAUUUUCUGCCUUGCACAAUUUUAUCCAAAUGAUAUCUCUUUACUACAACUGGAGUUGUUAUCAAAUGAGUUAGACAAGUUUAUCUAUGAUGUGUGAGCGGAUAAAGAUUAAUCUGGACUUCAAAGUAUAGGAAAUUUUUCUGUCAUGACGGUUAAGACACACAGACACACUGCUUAUCUCUUAGUUUAUCUUCUGGUUGAGUUAGCUAUAGUUUUACCCGUUGUCAUUGCUAUUGUUGAGAAAGUUUUUUCUGCUAUAAAACAAUCAAGACUUAUUAGCGUGAUAGGAUGUGACAUGCAUGACUGAAUGAUAGUAUGAUGAUAUAUAACGAGUAAGCUAUUUAUGCAAGUAUAGAUGAAAAAAUAUUUCAGCCCCCCCUAACUUUUACUCCUGGUUCCGCCACUGAACACGACAUCCAUCCACUUCCAUUGUUAUCUGACACAACAUAGGAAGCAAAAAACAGAUAGACUGGAAAGGACUUUGCUCAUCUUCCCCUUCAAUCGAAAGCAUAAAAUCCAAAAGUCAUGUUACCUUAUCCUUGCAUGCAUCAGGGGUUUUUGCAAGAUAACUCCCAAUAACCCGCACUGAAGCAAGGAGAUCAUCUCGUUGUCUUUGUCCAUGAACCUUCGCUUCUUGUAUAUACUCAAGGAUGACCCCAGUCGUCUCAUUAAGCCCAUUUAUGAUCUUAAUAAAAGUACUUUCGUUAAUAACACCACCUUCAUCUUCAGCAACCCCUGCAAUCAUUUUCACAAUAAUUUCCACCAAUGAAAACGCGACACAAAGAUUCCUUUCCUUCGAAACAACAUUAUUGUCAGCCAAAGAACUCUCUGAAGCUUCAAACUUCAACUAAGCCAAGUCAUUAAGAAGAACAGCAAACUCAAUCCUAGACGACUCCAAAACAAGCAACACACACCUAUCCCCCGGCACAACAGCCUCUUACACACCAGGCAAAUUCAUCGGACCGAAAAACCAUUCCUUACCAACUAUACCCACAACAGCCUCCGCCACAAUAAGCGCGUGAAGCUUCUCCGCAGGCGCCACACAAUUCUGCAAAAUACGAAUUGAAUACCCUCGGAUUUCAUAAACGAAAAAAAAAAAAUCCUUCAAAAUCCCCACUGAAGACACCCCUGAAUGUCAGCAACUCAGCAAAUUCAUCCUUGUACUUGGCAAUCAUCUCAGUAUCAACACAUCAUUUCAACUGGAGCACCAAUUUGCCUGACCCGAUGAACAUCUUUUGCAGAUGUGUAUUUGUUUGUUCACGAUUUCACCGAUCUCAUUAAAUCCAGCUUUUGUAGCUGCAGCUACCUGACCUUGGAGGUCUGAUAAACACUGCCUGUUAAAGGUUCUGAUAGGCACAACCUGCAAAGGACAUAGAUAUUAUAUUUUAUAGACUCCGGUUCCCCCUAAUAUGGUAACCCAAUAUGAACAGCAAAAAUAGAUAAAUUGAAUCGGUUGAUAUUUAUAUAUAGCUCAAAAUAACUGCUUUACACCACAGUUGCAACAUCAUUCCCAGAAGCACUAUGUAUAAUAAGCAGUACCAUCUCCAGCUGCAAACAGAAGCAUGACAAGUCACAGCAGCAAAAUAGAUCCAUCAGCGAAGACAUAUAUCAUAUCAACAAACUUUUUUCAGUAUGAUCAAUGAUUUUUUUUUUUUAUAAUCUGGUUAUCAAGUUCAAUAAAUUCAGAAUCAACAGAAUUCAUGAAAACAGUCAUCAAGUCUUGUCAACUAAAACACAGAUCACUGUCUCCCGUCUGCAUUAAUAAUCUAGUUUACAGUCCAGUAAAUAUAAUUAAAGUUCAUAUACAAUUCAACAUUUCGCUCCUGAUGUUAUAAGGCAUUAUAAAGGAUUAGUUAUAUGCAUUUAUAAGUUGUAUGGAAUUUGAUGUCAGGGCUGAAGCUGAGUCUUUUUAGAAUAAGUUGAGAACAACAAUUAAGAGAACUUGUGAAACUACAAUAUUAAAACUUAAUGUAUGAAGAACAGCCAUAUCCUUCCCCAAGAAACUAUUUAGUGUGACAAAUGAAAAUAAAUAAAUUAAUUAAAAUAACAACUAUUAUAUAGAAUGAAAGACGAUAUAGUAUUCCGCCUCCCUACGCAAAUUGCAGAUCUACAAAACAGGUGCCUGUCAGAUGUACCAAAGAGGAGGGGAGACAGGAUGGUAUGAUUUUCCUUGAAAAUGAGGUUCAAUUGUGUGAUGCUCCAUGCUGAAAAUACCCAUAUCAUGGCCGCCUCCUUUAUGGUAGUAGGGUUCCUUGUUGUCGUCCGUAAAAUAGAUACAGUUUGGCUUUAUAAUUUCUGACGAUGAUACAGCUGUGGAUGAAGCAUUGCCGACAAAAAUUGACUCGUUCCCCAAGUCAUUCUCUUGUUUCAAAGAACAUGAAAUAUCUUUAAAAGAAUCAGAAUAAUUCAAAUCCAACCUCCACACGGAGAAAUGAGUAGUGCGGUACUUGAACCGCAAUCUCUUAUGGUAGCGCACAAGUAGCAGAAGACCAGAUCCUGAUGUUGGUUCAACUAAGUACUUCUUUUCCCAAUCUUUACUUUCAAGCCAUGCAAUUUCUCUUCCCCUGAUGUGUCGUCCCUCUUCAUCACCAUCACAACCACACACAAAUAUAUUCCCAUGGCAGUUUACUGCAUAAACAUUUCCUUUGUGGUAAACAAUAUCACUGAAGUUGAACGCUGGAACGCACACAUCUGUCCAAACUUUGUCUCCCAAUCUAGCAAACCCUAAUUUAUAAUAGUCCCCAUAUAUAGCCAUUACAUAUGGUGAAGGGCAAGCAUGGCGAGGAUAUAAUCCUAAAGCUGAAUUUAUGUUGAGUACACUGGAAUAUACAACAACUUUUGAAAGAAACAUGUCGGAGUAAUUUUCAGGCCCAUAGUCUUCAUCGUAGGGCAUUUGCAGAGGAAAGGUAAGCAUGGGUGGAAGCGAGAUUUGGUAGUUUAAGAGAGGAUACAAAAGGUUUAUUUGCAGAUCCCUCCCUAGAGUUACUAGCCACCCUUUAUUGGUCCCCACUAUUAGUCUUCCAGCAGCUUCCGGCAAAUCAAUAUAGUACGUUUUUCCCGUCAAAAGACUGUAGAAACCACGACGACUACCGACUGAAAUUUUAUUAUGAUCAUAUUCAUCUUCCUCGGUAUCAUCUACUUUGUCAUUGUCUUCAUCAUCACCAUUAUUGUCUUCUUCGUGAUUAUCAUCACCAUCACCACUGCCAUCAUCAUCAUCACUGCUAUCUUCUUCUUCAUCAUCACCACCACUAACAUCACUGUCGCCUUCAUCAUCACCACUAUCAUCGUCAUCAUCGUUAUUAUCUUCUACUUCACUAUAAUCUUGACUAGGGUCAUAUUCAAGCAUAGCUCCUGGAGCAACAUCUUCCGCAAGAAGAAGGAACGGAUAUUCGGUGAGGGGAAGACAGGGCUUCUUGAAAUGACUAAGUGAAUCCCUCCAUGAUCUGCAGACAGCAAUGAAUCUGUAAUAGUCACGGAGAUAACUAAACUUCCCCACGAUAAGCUCAAGAAUAUCAGCGGGAAGAUUACUCCAAUAAUCAUAAUCAUCACAAUAAUCUUCUUUUUCUACAACAUCACUAGGUAUAGCUCCACGAGUUAGACAAUCACCAAGCAACCGAAAGCUUUGCGUAAUAAAGCUACAACCUGGCUCCAUAUCCUGUCGCAUACAUAUAUAUAAAAAAUCAAAUCUUUUAGGUUGCAAGUAAAGUGAGAGUAAAGAGAGUAUCAAGAAUAUAAACAAUAUUAAUUCUGAACUGUAAGAUAAUUUCCCCGCAAUAAUAUAAAGAAUAUUAAUCAUCACCACUGCCUUGUUUCUCGACAACAUGACUAUAGUCUUUGUUAAAUUCAGCGUCACAAUCACCAAGUAGACAUAACUAAAUUAGGAUUACAUAAAUUGCAAACAUAACUUAAACAAUCAGCCAACCAUACAAAAACUUUGCACAAUUAACAUAAAAGUCCGAUUAACCCCAACAUAAACAAUAUUAAUUUGGAACUGUAAGAUAACUUGGGGUAAAUCCUUAAUUCGAUCACACACGGAAACAGAAGCAUUAAUAAUUGGUGCAAGGAACACAAUUUUUUUUUUAAACAUGGAUAGAAUACCUCUCACUUUCUUGCACAAGCAGGAGCUCUAUCUCUCGCUGAUGAGGAAGAAGGUGCCACCAAAAAUCUCUCUCUCGCUGAUCUCUCUUUUCUCCUUUGAAAUAAAAUUUUACUAAUGGAUGAAUCUGUCAAAAGAUAUAUAUAGGGACAUAAAGGUAUAAAUCCUAAUACUAAUCUGAUUAUUAAUCUUAAUAAUUAUUUAAAAAUUUCUGUUCAAUAUUUUAUUAUAAUCCAUCUAAUUAAACUCUUUUUUUCAUAAUUUAAUUAGAACUCAACUAAUCAAAGUCUUUUUUUCAUAAUCUAAUUAGAAGUCAACUAGUCAGUCUUCUUUUCAUUAUUUAAUUAGAACUUACCUAAUUAGUUAAUUAUAGAAUUUCAAACUUAAUCGAUUUAGUUUAGUUGAGUCACAAUUAAUUAACAUUAUAAAUAUAUUUGAAUUAUAUAAUUAAUAGAAAUUCAUUAUUUUGUUAUUUUAAUACUCGAGUUUAUCAUCUAUUACUGCGAUGCACAAAAACUGUCAAUUUCGUCAUUCUUAUGUUUUAGCCUGAAUAUGCAAACAAAGGAAACUGUAUGAAAAAGGUAAAAAAGACUAGCAUUCGAUUCAAAGGAUAAAAGAUUGAUCUUCACAAACAAGCAUAUACCAAAAAACUCGUAAAAAGAGUGUUGUGUAGAUUUCAAAUAGUUGUUUGUUUGUUUUUGUUUUUUUGGUAUUUACAUAUUGUAAGUUAUAAUAUAAAAAAUAAUGUUUGAUGAGUUUUGAUAGUAAAAUUUAUGACAAUUAGCCGCAAAAAUUGAAAAACACUUUUUCUUGCAAAGGACAUGUUUUUUUCUAAAAGCAGCUUUUGGGCUAAAAGCUGCUGUUCAGAAAACCUGUUUUCAGAUUUACCAAACAGUUUUUCACUUGUUUUUCAGCAAAAAACUGCUGUUUCCAAUCACAAUACCAAACAGUACCCAAAAACCAAUCAUUAAAUCCACCGUUAUCAACAAUUUAAUUGUAGUUUAUAUUUUGAGAUUUAAAUUGAUAAGUUGAAAAAUAAGUUGAAAGCUGUUAUAUAUAUAUAUAUAUAUUUUUCCUGCCCCAUCCCCGCCCCAUUCCCGCGGGGAUUUAUUUUUAAUCCCCAUCCCUGCCCCACCGGGAAUUUAAUAUAAUUUCGUCCCGCCUCGCCCCACUGCUAUAAUAUUAUACUAAUAAUUACUUUAAAAUCUAAUAAUUUUUUCUUCAGAAUUUAAUUAAAAUAUACGAGACAUGUAUAUUAAAAGCAAAAAACUAAAUAUAUUAGAAAUCAAAAAGACAUGUUAUAAUUGUAAAAUUAUAGUUUUGUGUAUUAUAAAAUAAUAAUAUUAAAUAUAAUAAAUAAAUUAUAUUAAAUAUAAUUAUUUAUUUAUAUUAAAUAUAUGUGGGGCGGGGCGGGGAAUCCCCACGGAGAUUCAACAAAUACCAUACUUGCCCCAUAUUUUGACGGGGCAGAAAAUCAUUCCCCGUCACUACCCCAUUCCCCGUAUUAGCGGGGCGGAUCUGCCCCAUUCAGGGCGGGUUGGUGCUAUUCCACAACAAACCAAGCUACCAUACAAACCUAAAAGCCACUAUCUCCACUCUCAUUUUUGCUAUGAGCACUCCAAUUUAUUUUAUUUUUUUAAUUUUCAGGGGGUCCACGCUGACGUGGCAGCAGGCCUGCAGGUGACGUGGCAGGUCUGCUUAGGGGUGGCAAAAUCCGACACGACCCGAAACCCGAUACGAACCCGACUCGAAAAAAAACGAAUUAGGGUCGAGGUUUUUACAUUUCGGGUUGGGUUCGGGUCGGGUAAUUUUUUACCCGAAAAACUCGGGUCGGGUUCNCAAUUAUUAUAAAUAUAUAUUUAAUAAUUAUAAUUAAAAUAAUUAAUUUUUAAUAAAUUUCGGGUCAAAAUGGGUCAUUUUCGGGUCAAUCGGGUACUGAACAGGUCGGGUUCGGGUUGAGAUUUUUGACCCAUUUCGGGUUCGGGUCGGGUUCUUGUUGACCCAAAAACUGGACCAGGUAAGACAACCCGACCCAUUACCCGAAAUUGCCACCCCUAGGUCUGCUGCCACGACAUCUGCCACGUCAGCAGUGGGGACCCUCUAGUGCUGACGUGGCAGUGCCAUGUUAGUAGGUGCUGAUGUGGCAGAUGACGUGGCAGUGCCACGUCUGCAGUGGGGGACCCCGGACGUGGUAGAGUGACAUGGUAGGGGUGACGUGGACCCCAAUGCUGACGUGGCAGGGGGUAGAAAGUGUAAGUUUUUGGAAGUUGAUGGCAAAGUUAGGGGGGAUAUUGUGAGUUCUUAAAAGUUUGAGGAGAUAUUUGUUAACUUUGAAACUAGUUUUUUAGGUUUGUAUGAUAAGUGUAGUUUGUAUUUGAACAAAUGUGUAUAUAUAUAUAUAUAUAUAUAUAUAUAUAUAUAUAUAUAUAUAUAUAUUUGUGUGUGGUUGUUUGGGUGUUAUGUGUGUGUGUGUGUGUGUGUGUGUGUGUGUGUGUGUGUGUGUGUGUAUAUAUGUGUGUAUGUAUGUAUAUAUAUGAUGAAAAGUUGAAAAUUUCAUUAAAAAAAUCAAAUGGGCAUAUUUGUUAAUAAAAGUAACUUUGUAAUAAUAGUUUAUGCUAAAAAAUAGGUUACAAAUUAUUUGAUAUAUUUGCUAAAAAGCAGAUUGAAAAUUAUUUGAUAAAUAUAAAACCAGAAUGUAUCUGAAUAAUAAACUUUUAACUAGAAAGUAACGUUUAGGGGAUGCAGAUCGUCGUAUAAAACUGACGAAAAUGACCAAUGCAAGCAUAAGAGAAUAAGACAAUGCAUGUCAGUAUAUCAUUUAUUUGACUCAAAUGAAGUUAAAUAUCAAGUACGUGACUGACUACGUUCAAAAAAUUCAAGCAGGCCACUCACUGCAAAUUUGACUCAAAUGAGUCACUUAUUUGAAAAUUUUUAUUGAAAAUAUCAAUAUAAUUAGUCGAAAUUCAUAAAGUAUUAUAAAUUGAGUUUCACACAUUUUUUAUGAAUGAUAUUAUAUCCAAAUGAAAAAUUCAGAAUUCUAGUAUUUUAGAUAAUAUUGUUAUUUUUAAAAUUUUAUCAAUUAUUUAUUUUUAAUUUUUUGAUUGUUUAUUUGAUUUAAAUAAAAAUAAAUAGUAUAUCAAUUUUUAAAAAUCUAAAAAAUAUCAUCUAAAAUACUAGAACUCAUAAUCUUUCAUUUGAAUGUAAUACCGUUCAUAAAAAGAGUGCAAAACUCAAUAUAUAAUUCUUUAAGAAUUUCGGCUAACGAUAAAAUGAUAUUUUUGAUAAAAAAUUUCAUACGAGUGACUCAUUUGAGUUUGCAACGAGUGACCUUCUUGAUAUUUAACCCAAUUUUGAAAAAUAUUUGAAAACAUUCCAGCAUUAAAUAUCAGUCACAGAUUAAAAAUGGUUUGUGCAUGAAGACCCCGCUUUUAUGAACGAGAGUCGAGAGGAGUGAAAAAUAAUUGGACAAUUCUUGCGAAUCACUUUCUACAUGCCAACUCGAAAACAUAUCUACAUGUCAACUUGAAAACAUAAGAUCACAUCAGAUGUGAUAAAUAUAAAUACUGAUGAAUUGUAGUCAAAUCUAAAACUCGUAAUAAUACAGGUUUAGCUACAUUUUAAGGGUGAUAAAAAGGUAGCACAUUUUAGGAAUGAUAAAAAGGUUCCUCCUUCUAACUAGUAACUACCAUGAAUCUUUUAAAUGAUGCAAAAAAAGUUGCUAAAGGUAAAAUAUUUUAUUAUUCUUAUGUUUUAGCCUGAAUAUGCAAACAAAGGAAAGUGUAUGAAAAAGGUAAAAAACUAGACAUUCAAUUCAAAGCGACAAAAGAUUGAUCUUCGCAAACAAGCAUAUUCCAAAAAACUCAACUUUAAAUAUAUAGCAGCCAAUAUUACUAAGGAUUACAUCAUGCCUUUGCUAAAAGCUACUGUAUUAUGCUAAACAACAAACUCCUAUUAUCAAGUCUACACCAGACUCGGUUGCUUCCUAUCAAGUGUCUCAUCAUAUAUUUAAUCCAAGACUCCUCCUGGAUAAGAACUGGGACAACUGAAGGUUUUUUUUAGAUUUAUUUUCCAAUUGCUGCCUUGAUGCGAGGAAAACUCUUAGACCAGCGCGAAUAUCCUGAAAUGACAAUCUCAUAGAGAUCCGCUUCAGCUUCCUCAUAGAACACAUCCUCACUACUAGCAGUCAUACUUCUCUUCAAGAGUUGACAGAGACCAGCCAACUUGCCAUCAUCAAAGCCUGGAUGUUGUCGAAGAGCAUCCUCCAAUGUGAAGUCUAGAAUUAAUGAAGAGAUAGUUGCGGCCAUCAUAACAACAGAGUGGUGACUGCUAUUCUCCGACCAGUAAACCAAAGUUGCCAAGAGCUCAACUACGUCAGCGCCAUCAAAGGAAAUAGGGACUUCUUCUUUCUUUAACAGAACGUUCAUAAGUGUAUCAUAUGCCAGAUAUACCAAACUACCAUCCUUUGCUUUCUCACCAUUAAGACUAAUCAGCUUAAUGAGGCAACUUACAACAGCUUUUUGCGCUCCGGAAAAAGGUACAACACGACAUCCAUCAACUUCCAUUGUUAUCUGACACAACAUAGGAAGCAAAAAACAGAUAGACUGGAAAGGACUUUGCUUAUCUUCCCCUUCAAUCGAAAGCAUAAAAUCCAAAAGUGAUGUUACCUUAUCCUUGCAUGCAUCAGGGGUUUCUGCAAGAUAACUCCCAAGAAGCUGUACUGAAGCAAGGAGAUCAUCUCCUUUUUUUGUCCAUGAACCUUCGCAUCUUGUAUAUACUCAAGGAUGACCCCAGUCGUCUCAUUAAGCCCAUUUAUAAUUUUAAUAAAAGUACUUUCGUUAAUAACACCACCUUCAUCUUCAGCAACACCUGCAAUCAUUUUCACAAUAAUUUCCACCAAUGAAAGCGCGACACAAAGAUUCCUUUCCUUCGAAACAACAUUAUUGUCAGCCAAAGAACUCUCUGAAGCUUCAAACUUCAAAUAAGCCAAGUCAUUAAGAAGAACAGCAAUCUCAAUCCUAGACGACUCCAAAACAAGCAACACACAUCUAUCCCCCGGCACAACAGCCUCUUCCACACCAGGCAAAUUCAUUGGACCAAAAGAACAUUCCUUACCAACUAUACCCACAACAGCCUCCGCCACAAUAAGCGCGUGAAGCUUCUCCGCAGGCGCCACACAAUUCUGCAAAAUCCGAAUUGAAUACCCUCAGAUUUCAUAAAUGAAAAAAAUAACCUUCAAAAUCCCCAUUGAAUACAGCCCUGAAUGUCAGCAACUCGGCAAAUUCAUCCUUGUACUUGCCACUUGGCAAUCAUCUCAGUAUCAACACAUCAUUUCAACUGGAGCACCAAUUUGCCGGACCAGAUGAACAUCUAUUGCAGAUGUGUAUAUAUUUGUUCACGAUUUCACCGAUCUCAUUAAAACCAGCUUUUGUGGCUGCAGCUACCUGACCUUGGAGGUCUGAUGAACACUGACUGUUAAAGGUUCUGAUAGGCACAACCUGCAAAGGACAUAAAUAUUAUAUACUACAUAUAUAUUCUUAUAGACUCCGGUUCCCCCUAAUAUGGUAACCCAAUAUGAACAGCAAAAAUAGAAAAAUUGAAUCGGUUAAUAUUUAUAUCUAGCUCAAAAUAACUGCUUUACACCACAGUUGCAACAUCAUCCCCAGAAGCACUAUGUAUAAUAAGCAGUACCAUCUCUAGCUGCAAACAGAAGCAUGACAAGUCACAGCAGCAAAAUAGAUCCAUCAGCGAAGAAUAUAUCAUAUCAACAAACUUUUUUCAGUAUGUUCAGUGAUUUUUUUUAUCUGGUUAUCAUGUUCAAUAAAUUCAGAAUCAACAGAAUUCAUGAAGACAGACAUCAAGUCUUGUCAACUAAAACACAGAUCACUUUCUCCCGUCUGCAGUAAUAAUCUAGUUUACAGUCCCAUUAAUAUAAUUAAAGUUUAUAUAAAAUUCAACAUUUUGCUCCUGAUGUUAUAAGGCAUUAUAAAGAAUCAGUUAUGUGCAUUUAUAAAUUGUAUCGAAUUUGAUGUCAGGGCUGAGGCUGAGUCUUUUUAGCAUAAGUUAAGAACAACAAUCAAGAGAAUUUGUGAAACUACAAUAUUAAAACUUAAUGUAUGAAGAACAGCCAUAUCCUUCCCCAAGAAACUAUUUAGUGUGACAAAUGAAAAUAAAUAAAUUAAUUAAUUAAAAUAACAACUAUUAUACAGAAUGAAAGACGAUAUAGUAUUCCGCCUCACUACGCAAAUUGCAGAUCUACUAAACAAGUGCCUGUCAGAUGUACCAAAGAGGAGGGGAGACAGGAUGGUAUGAUUUUCCUUGAAAAUGAGGUUCAAUUGUGUGAUGCUCCAUGCUGAAAAUCCCCAUAUCAUGCCCGCCUCCUUCAUGGUAGUAGGGUUCCUUGUUGUCGUCCGUAAAAUAGAUACAGUUUGGCUUUAUAAUUUCUGACGAUG